rnacentral:lncRNA from 1 species
CACUAUAUACCCUAAAAUCUAUCAGUUUAUUAAACUACCAUUCUUUGUGACGAUAAAAUACAUUUAUUGACAAUACUUCCUCACUAAAAACCCUAAAAUGAAACUAGAUUUCUUUUCUUAUUCUUCAAUUUGAGACUAAACAUUUUAUAUAUAAACAUUAAACUUUAAUUUUUUUUAGAUCAUGAUAAAAACCAUCGUCUGAUUGUCACAAAGACAUUGAAUUAUUUAGUUAAGAGUUCGGUUUCUUAUGGUUAUCUAAAUAUAUUAUUAUACCUUGUGUUCCGCAACAUCAUCCAUAAACCUACAAAUAAUUGUGGAAGCUUGAAUGAUCUUAGGGUCAUUGGCUGCCCAUUUAAAGGUCUCUGGUGUUACGAUAUCUCCCAUGCCGACGAAAGAUGUAAUAGCAAGCAUGGCAUAACCACAAGUUGGCAAUGCAUUAGCCUUAAACUCCUCGAAUGAUGGUUUGUAGUUUUGAAGAGUCCAUCUGGCCUCCACAAGGUAAGAUUGAGCAAGUCGUAUCAUCUGAGGCAACAAAAUCUCAAACAAUUAUUACGAAUAUCAAUUCAAAUUCAAAAAUAAUAUUUAAAUGAUUAUAUAUUAUUAUUCAAGUUAGUUGUUUAUUCAAAUCUAUAAUUUAACUAAUAUCUUAUCUCUUGUGUACAAAAUAAAUGUUUGGUGAUGUACAUACCGCAUUUUUUGCAUAUUCGACACGAUAUUGUCUUCCAUGCUCAGGCACCAGUUGUUCCAUUUCUUCGUAAACAUCUAAUAGUGCCUUGUAGCUCGGCUUCAUGUAUUCAGGAAGUUCAUCUAUGCAUUUGAUAUCCCACCUGAAUCCAACUUCAACGUUAUAUUUAAUCAUUUCUCGUAAUAUAUUAUUGAAUGUUAACUUCAACUAAAGAAACCUAACCUAUUACCAACAAAAUUAAAGAAAUCUAACCUCUCAAUUGCAUUUGUAUAUGGAAUGAGCUCUUCAUAUGUUGCAUAUGAGUCAUAUGUAUCAUCUACAAUAGAUGCCAUUGCUAUCACUUUUGUCAACAUCUUUCUACCAAGUGAAUAUUGCGGCUCAAAGUACACUCCUGAGAUCCAAAAAUAGCCUUCAACCACUCUAUCUCUUGCAUAUGGCAACUUUCUUUGAAAGUCUAAAUCUUUCCACCACCUAAAAAAUGAUAUCAUAAAAAACCCCAUUAGCACAAUGAAUAUUCAAUGUUUCAAUUAGUUUCACAUUCAUGUUGUUAGAUUUAAGUCAAUUGGCAACCUCAAAUAUUAAAGUAUAUAUAAGUAAAAUGAUAUAGGUGAAAAAGAUGAAUCCAAGGUUGAUGCCAGCACUUUUAACUUGUACUAUUUAAUAAGAUUCAAAUAUUAGCAUUUGCAACUUGUCUCCUAUACUGAGAAUGAUGUCUCCAAUAAAUUCAGCCCUCCUUCCACUAAUAAAUAAAUAAAUAAAAAAGAUGAAAAAGAAAAAAAUGGGUGAAAGAGAUUAAAAAACAUACCUGCAAAUCUCGCUUAGCUCUUUCCUAUGCAAAAAUUGUAACAUGUUGAAGUCGAUCUUAGCAAACUCCAACAAAGCCUUAUUAUGGGACUCAAUAUCUUGGUAUACUGAAAGAUAGUGCCUUGCCUCAACCCUUGACAAGCCUCUUCGAAUUGAUUGUUUCAAAGCAUGAGAAACCUCUUCGGAUAAAGGAUGGUCCAAAGAUGCUACUGCAAGGCUUAAAUGGUUGGUGGUGAAAGAAAUUGCUUCAUCCAAUAUAUCUUCCCCAUGAACCCUCAAAUAGGAAGCUUGGUAAAGUUCCAACAAUCCUCGAACAUCGCUUGUCACGGAUGACUUGAAAUUCCCUUGCUCGUCUUUAAACUUGUUGAAUACGUCUGAGAUGAAAUUACCCAAAAUGAAAUAUCGUUAUCAAACAUUCCAUGCUAUUAUAUUCUCAAGAAACUUAAAAACACUAUGUUUCUGUUCCAAUAAUUACCGCAUGAAACAUUGUAUCCAUGCUCUCGGAGUAGUCGGAAUCGAAGAGAUGUAGUGUAGAGGUCGUUCUCGGCAUCAUUGUUGUUAUGGUAGAUAUUCUCUAGUUCAUCUUCGAUCUCCUUGGUGAAAUGGUAACUCACACCCAGUCUUUGGAGUGAAUCAAUGAAGGCUAACUUUUGGGUCGAAUUAGCCAUCGGUGCCACAAUCAUCUUCCUCACUUCUUCUUUCAAUUGUUGGUGGCGUUUUUCAGUUCCAGCAUCAAUAUUCUGCUCAAAACAAUGAAAAUUUUCUUCAUAUUGAAUCACUAAAUAAUUAAACAAAUAAUAUGUUAAGAUUAUAUCAAUAUGGUGAUAUGUAUGUAUACCUUGUCGGGACAAUUGAGGAAGAAAUCUCCCCAAAUGCUAGGCUGAAAAUCGGCUUUGGGACGGAUUUCAUCCUUAUUGGAAGAAAGGGGUGAUGAAGAAGGCAUUUGAGAAACUUGUGAAGCCAUUUCGAUUGAUCAAAAGCAGAUAUUGAAAAGCUGAAUUUGCAGCCUUUUUUUGGUUUGCUCUUGAAAUUUGGCACAGAAUUUGUGUGAGGAUAAGAGUGCAAUUGUUGCAUGUAUUUAUAGGUAAGAAAAAUAGUGGUGAUAUUUGAAGUCAAAAAAGGAGAACUUAAAUUCAAGAAAACAAAGUGCAUGAGAAAUACAAAUAGAUUAAAAGAAAUGUUGAUUUGUCUUUUGUUUGAUUCUUUUGAUUCAAAGUUGAUGUCUGUAAAAAAUGUUUAAAUAUCCUCUAUUGAUUUUAAACUUUUGCAGUUCGAUCAAAAUGUUUGAGGGCAUGAAUGAUAUUUAUUCUUUUCUCUGCUUUUGACAUACUCUUCACAGAAUUUAUGACCUCAAUCCACCCGUAAUUUUAUAUUAAUUUCUUAGGAAAUAUCAGUGGAAAGUAAGAAGAAUACGACUCUGUAGUAUUUAAAAUACUGACUUAUUUUGAUGUAAAAUUUACUUUAAAAAAAAGUUUUUCAUGUUACUUUUAAUCCUUAGUAAUCAAAUGUAUUUGUUUACUCAUUAGCAUUUUAAAAUAAAUAAAUUUGUCACUUAUUUGACCCACUCUCUUUACGAUUUUAGAAUUUUUUUUAAAUGGAUGAAUUUAAAAACUUAGAAAAAAAAAUUUUAUUGUAAGGUAAAUGAAAUUUACAAAAGAAAGGUUAUAUUCUUAGAAUUCUAAGUAUCAAACUUUUUUCAUAUAUAAAUAUAAUAAAUAAACUAUUUUUAAAAUUAAUAAAAAUAAUAUAUUCUUUUGUUAAGUCAAUAAAAAAUUAUUAAUAAUAUAUUAAAUGCAAGAAACCUUUCUGAAAUAAUAAAUAAUGUUUAAGUAUCUUAAGUCUUAACCAAAUGUAUAAAAGAAUUUAAAAUUGAAUGAAGUUAAAUCGGUGCAUGCAUUUCCUUCAGACCAGAAGACUGAUUUUUUCAUUGAUUUUUAUAAUAAAGCAUGUCAAGUUUGAACAAGGACUAAGCAACGUAACUUGUUUACUACUGUGCUUUACGAGUGACUACUUAUGGCAUAAUAUUCUCAAAGUAUACAUAUUUAAAAUUCAUCUUCAAUUUUUAAAAUAUCUUAAUUUAGUCUUUAAAGUAUUGGUAUCAUAUCAAUCAAGUCCUUUCAUUAGUUAAACAAUUAUAUUAGGUGUUAGAUGCCAACUCAAAUUUGAGAUGAAGUGUAUUUAAAAUACGUAGAUCAAAUUAUAAAAAUAUAUAUCUACCGCAUAUUUAAAUUUUUUGACACUAUUUUUUCAAUAUGUCAAAUCCAAAAUUUUCAUAUGGUAGAUAUACAUGAGUUUACAGUUUAAUCCACAUCCUAAUUGACAUUUAACACUUAGAUUAUCUACUACGCUAAUGGAAAACCUAUUUGAUACAACGUUGAUAUUUUAAAGACUCAAUUGACAUAUUUUGCAACCCUUAGCCCGGCCAAAACGUUAGAUUCGAAUUUGAAAUAUUACAUCAGCCACUGCAAUGAUCUUGUAGUGUUCGUGGUUUUUAAAAUAGUUAAUUUCAUUUGUUAAUGUUAAUAGAAAACCUAUCCAAUUUUCAAAAACCACUUGAGUCAACGGAAACCAAUUAAUUUUAACUCCUUUUUCUUGUAAUGGUGGCUAUUUUUGAAACAUUAGCUAAUUUAUUUAUUCUUCUAAAAUUUAUUUAUAAAUUUAGCAGCUGAAAAGUGAUUUUUACAUAGUUUUAAUAAAAUCUAUAUUUCAUGCAUAUUUAAUUAUAAUCCAUAUUUCAUCGCUUUAAAAAGAAACAAUUUAAAAGGCAUGCUAUUAAAAUCUAAAUCUAAAUCUCAUGCACAGUUCAAAAUAAAAUAAUAUAAUUUUUGAAUAAUAUUAAAUUGUCAAAUAAUAACUUGAAAAUAUUUUAGUAAAUAAGAUUGAGUCGAGACCCUUCAGAUGUCGUGUUCGCGUCCUAACUUGAUGGGUUAUCUGAAAGAUAAAAAUCAAAAGAGAAUAAGCUAUGAAACGCAGUGUGAGUCCCAUCACAAGCAAAAUCAAUACAAAUGCUUAAAUAUACAGAAGCACAACACAUAGAAAAUUCACAAUAAUAAUUUCAUAAUAUCGAUAUUUUUCCUUAACCUAAUAGUAAUUAACCAAACUUCCCUUAAUACCUAUAACUAGAUCUAUUAAUUAAUCGGUCAGGUCAUUAGGAUAAAUUAGUUCGAGUUUUAGAAAUUUCAAGUGAUCUUUAGGUUAUUUUUAUAUUCAAAUCAUUCCAGAUUAAUAUCAUUUCAAAUUCAAAACAUUUUAAUUUUGAAUCAAUUUAAAUUUAAAUUAUUAAUUUUUUAUUAUCAAAUCGAAUUAGAUCAAAUUUAUAUUUAAAUUCUUCAAAUUAAAUUUUAAACUCAGAUCAAAAUUGAUAACCCUAUUAUGUUAAAAGUAUAUUAAAAAAAUUAGCUACUCAAUUUUUUUUUAAAAAAAAUUAUCCUACUAUAUAUUAUAUUAAUUACAAUUGAAAAUUUCGAGGAAAAGAAAAAGGCAAAUUAUCGUAUUUUCAGCCAUCCAUAAAAAGACAGUGAACUUAUUGACUUGAAAAUUGGUAUAUACGAACAUAUGAUAUAUUUGAUACACUUGGAGAGUGUUGAAAAGUCAUUUGAGUCAUAAAAAAAUGCAAAUUAGUCAAAUUCAGUGACAAAAUUCUCACUACAUAGCUACGAAAUUCUUCGAAAAAAAUAUAAAAGAAAACGAAAAUUAUCUAAUAAAAGUUAGGUUAAAAUAUGCUAAGUAGAUGUGAUUUUUAAAAAUUUAGAAUUUAAUUUCUAUAUUUUUAUUUUUUAAGAUUUUAGAAUUUAAUUUCAACGUCAUUUUUUAAUUACAUAGAUAUUAAGUGAAUAUUUUUUUAUUUUAAAAUAUCACACCAACAAAUUUAAUCAAAAAAAUAACGAUAUUUAAAUUGGACCUAAAUUUUAAAAUAUAAAAAAAUAAAGAACAUAAAUUCCUAAAAAUAAAAUUAGAAAAAUUUAGUUGUAAAUUUUAGAAAAGAACGAAAACUCAUAUAAUACUUCAACCUAAAAAAUAACCAUUCAAACAUGAACGCUUGACACUUUGAAUAAUGAUAUUUUUCACAAUUUAUUUAACAUAUUUUUCAAUUUGAAAUAUAUAUUCUUUUUACAUUGCAAUUAAGACACAAGACUCAAAGGAAAAAUAAGCAAAUUUAAUCAAAGGCGUCUAUUUAUAAUUGAAAGCUAUCUUUUUUCUUAUCUUAAUAUUUUAUUGAAAUACAGAUUGAGUAUUAGUUCAAUUGGUAUGGAUAUUGUCAUCAAUGCAGGAGGACGUGAGAUCAAAUGCGCUGAAACGUAUUAUCCUCCUGUUCAUGAAUUAGAAAGGGAAAUAGAUAAUUCUAAGCAUUGUAUUAAAAAAUAUUUUAUUUAAAUGGCAUUCAUAUCUAAAGUAAAGUUUAAAAUUUUUUAUAUUAAAAAAAUGAAAAAAAUAAUUUAUUAAAAAUAUUUUUUAUUGAUUAGUAAUAAACUUACCUAAUACUGGAUAAUUAAGUAUUAAUUUGGCACACUGUAUAAAAGUAAAUGUUCAAUUUUUUAUCCUUAAAAUUGACAUGUUGAAAACAAGGAAAUGGCAACUAUAAAAAACCAUCUUUAACUGUCUCAGCAAUCAAAUAAGUAUAUAAAAACAAAGUUAGUCAACAAUUCAUGGUGCAAGAGAAUAUUAUAUUGGGUAUAUAUAAUUUGAAAGUUUAAAAAUUGGUUUUUUUUUUCAGAAAUAAUUUAAAUAAAUUCAUUAUUUAUAAAAAUAAUUUAUUUGUAAAAUUAUCCGUUUUGAACAGUGAUUUUGGUGCCGUUGUUGCCAUUGGCGGCAUCACCCUUCAUAAUGGGCCAAUUAUUGGUUGGUUUUAGAAAAAAAAAAUUGGGUGUCAUCAUUGCUAUUGGCGGCACCGGACUGAAGUGUGAUUAUAUAAAAUAUUAAAGGACCUAAUAAAGCAAUUACCCUUUCUGGAUGAAAAAAUGGGUGCUGCCAUUAUUGUUGGCGGCUCCCAAUUAAAUACUUUUAGAUUUUUGGUCUAUUUGCAUGUUAAGUCUAUCCCCUUUUAAAAUUAAAUUUAAAUAACUCUUAAAAAUAUAAGAAUAAUAAAAGUAAACUCUUUUCAUUUUUUUUUAAUUUUUUAAAAAUGAUAAACUUAAAAAAUUAUAUAAAAUUAUUAUUUAAAUAACCCAAAUAUGUCCCUCAAGAAUUUUCCUCAAAUAAAAAAUUAUUAUUUAAAACUUGAGGAAAAAUUUUAGGGAUAUAUUUUGGUAAUUUAAAUAAGAAUUUUAUAUAGUUUUUUAAGUUUAUUUUUAAAAUAAAUAAAUAAAUAAAUAAAAUGAAAAGAGUUUAUUUUUGUUAUUCUUAUAUUUUUAAGGGCUAUUUAAAUCUAUUUUCAAAAGGGAAUAGACCUAACAUGCAAAAACAUUUAAUUGGAGCCGCUAGCAAUCAUGGUGGCACCCCUUUUUUCAUCUAAUCUAAAAGGGUAAUUGCUUCAUCGGGUCCCUGAACGUUUUAUAUAAUCACACUUUAAUCUGGUGCCACCAAUGGCAACGACGACACCUAAUUUUAUUUUAUUUUUUAAAACUAGCCAAUAAUUGGCCCAUUAUGAAGGGUGAUGCUGCCAAUGACAACAGCAGCACCAAAAUUAACAAUUCAAAACGAGUCAGUUUCGUACAUAAUUUUGCAAGUGGGUCAUUUUUGUAAAUAAUUAAUUUAUUUGGGUUAUUUUUGAAAAAAACCUUUAAAAAUUAAAAUUUUGAAAUAGAAAUAAGAGAAUUAAAUUUCAAAUGCACAAAGUAUAGAGAUUUAGAGUCAAAGUUGUUGAACUAGACUAGGCAAGCUAGCUUAGGGUAUCAAUCUAAAGAGAGGCAUCAGACCAAUAGACCUGUGAAUUGGUACAUACCGGUUGAACCAGACUAAAAAACCAAUUAAACAAGUUUUUUUUAUUUUUAAAUAAAUUUAUUUUUUAUGAUUUAUUUAAUCGAAUUGUAUGAACCGAUGCCUUACCAAUUCAACCAACGGUUCGAUUCUAAAAGUCUUACUUAGAAUAUAUUUUAAUCGUCAAAUAUAUACUCCAUAACUUGACACAAACAAAUAAUCAACCCAAUGAAAAGGGUGAAUAGACCAUACUAGUGAUUAUAUGAAAAGUUAAACAAUACAUGCAUUCUUAUAUUUUAUGCUAAUGAUUGUACCAUACACUAUCUUAGUAAAAAAAAAAACUAGUACGGUUCACACACGGUGUUAAGUUGAUUUUUUAUUUGUUUCAAAUUAUAGAGUACAAAUUUGAAGAUUAAAAUAUACUCUAAGUUUUUAUACACUUCGUACAUUUGAAAGUUAAUUCAUCUACUUUUACUUUUAAGAAUUUAACCCUUCUACAUUUUGGAUUUAAAAAUCCGCUUUCAGCUUAUAUAUAAUUACUUAAUAUUUUAAUCGAAAAGUUAAUGAUAGUAACUAUUUAGAUUGAUCAAUAACAUUAUAAAAAUAAAGAGAGUAAAUUAUGUUAGAAAUUAAAGUAUUUAAACACUAUGUCAUACUUCAAUAUUUAAGUUAAUAAAUACUCAAGAACUGCAAUGAAACUUGGGUUCAAUGAUAAUGUUAAAGCUUUGAUAAUUUUGAAAUAUUAAGUUUAAGUCUUAUUAUAUAUAAAUACGUGAGUUCUCUUUUAGGUUUAAUUUUAUUAUAUUUAACUGUUGAGUUAUUCAAUUUAUAGUGAGGUUAAUUAUUUACUUUAGUGCUUAUAAUAAGUAAUUAUUAGAAUUGUUAAUAUAGGAGCGGCAACAAGGGGUGUUGGCAGGGGCCGAGUCCUUAAAAUUGGAAAUUUAAAAUUUGAUCUUUUAAAUUUAUGAAGUUUAAAAUUAGUAAAUAGGUAACUUACACUUUGACCCCUGAAAAUUUAUGAAGUUCAAUCAUUCUUCUAGCAAUUUAGUAAUUUUCAUAAAUAACAUCCCCAUUCUUGCCAAGAAGCGGUAAGUACACCUCGUUCCUAUUAUUCAAUUUAGUAACUCCGCCGUACGAAUCUCCAAACUUUAAUCUUUAAUUCGAUUCAUCGAUCUAUUUGAAAUCUUGAUAAAUCUUUUGAAAAUAUUGCCAAACUUGACAUCAAUUGUUAAUUGUAUAUAUAUGUCAUUUGAAGGACCGGAUUUAGGUGUGCCAACUAGAAUUAAGAGUGAGGAACAUCGACCGGACCCUUGGUGAAAGGUGUGUGUUCUUUUCUAAGUGAAUCCGUGUCAAACCGUGUAUUGUACAGGACCACACGGCCUCUCACAUAGGUGUGUGGACAACAUGACUAUGUGCCUCUGUAAUCGUAGGGUAGUUCGUUGCCCUUCCACACAGCUUGCCACACGAUCGUGUCUUUCCUGUAGGGUAAAUUAAUGUUUUCACAUGGCCACAACCUAUUACACGGCCUAACUACACGACCGGUGUAACCCCUCCACAUGGUCUUAACCCUCUCAAACAGCCUAGCCAUACGGUCUUGUGACCCCUGUUUUACAAAUUUUACAAUUUUCCCAAAAAUUCGUGAAUUGUACAAUUUAGUCACUGUAUAAUGCCCGAACUGUUUUUAGAGUUUAUUUCUCGUAAUUAAAUCCCUGAUGAUAUGCAUAUUUUGGAAUCUAUGAUCUGAGUGACUGAAUUACUACUAUUAUAUGUAUAAUAUGUGAACAAUAAAUGUUUUUUGCCUCUGUAUUACUAAUUACAUGUUCAACAUGCCAUUUGAUACCGUUAAAUCUAAUUCAUGAUAAGCAUGACUUUUGCUACAGCAUUGAUUUGUUAUAAGCAUAUCUAUUGCUACCGUAUUGAUCUGUUAUAAGCAUGUCCAUUGCUAUUGUAUUGAUAUGUUAUAAGCAUGUCAUAUUGCAUUGCAUAGGAUGAGACGAUAUGUACGGAGGAAGAGUAACAGUUUAUCUGAAAAUUUGUUGUGCACCCACAACCCAAUGGCAGUUUAUCUGCAAAUUUGUUAUUUAUCCACAGCUUGCUGGGAGUUUUUAUCUGUGAAUUCGCUAUGCAUCCAUAGCCUAGUGGUAGUUUUUAUCUACGAAUUUGUUGCGCAUCCACAACCUAGUGGCAGCUUGUUUACAAACCUGAGGUGGUUAAACCAAAACUCAAUGUAUAAGAAUGUUUAAGUUCAGGGGAACUCCUAGUGAGGUGUGUAGCGGAGUUGGGUAGGAUCUUUCCUUUGAUAUAUUGAAAUUGCAUUGCCAUGCAUUGCCAUGUGCAUACAAAACUGUGAAUGUAGAGAUGUUAUUGUGAUUUGUUGAUCUAUGAAACCGUUAUUACGACUUGCUAUACGAUUGUGAUUGUUUUAAAAAAAUUGUUAUUUCACAUGCUUUGUCUGCCGUUUACACUAAUUUUCUUGUGAUUGGACUCGCACUAAGCUUCAAAAGCUCGCUCCCCCAUUUAUUUCCAUCUCUACAGAUAAUCCACCAAGUUAGGACGUGGUCUCGGCAUUCAGAAGACUCAGUACAAAUUAUUUGUUUAUAUAUAAAAGUAUUUUAAAUUCAUUAAUUGCAAUUUCUACUAUUCAAAGAUUGUACUAUUUUAUUUGAACCGUGGCAUGGGACUUAGGUUUUGUGUUUGUUAGGUAUGCAUGACAUUCUAUUUUACCUUACGUUAUUGAAAUAUGGUUUAUUAAUAUCCAUGCAUAUAAAUAUGGUUUCUAUUAAACUCAUGUUAAAGAUCACUUUUCCCGCUGCAUUGGUAUGAAUGAAAAUGAGGUUUCAAAAAUAUACAAAAAUUAAAAAUCGACUUUUACUAAGUAAACUUUAAAUUCUAUCAUUUUAGGGAAAAUUUUGUCUUUUAAUAAAUCGAAGAUAACACGCGAAGUCUUUCCUUAAUAAUAAACAAAUGUUUUAAACAACUAUUUUAUAAACUGUGACCGUACUAGGUUAUUUCGGUGGCUUAUGUAAUCUUCCAAAUUCAGUUUUAGCAUCUACGUCGAGUUUGGAAGGUUACAUUUGGUGGUAUCAAAGCCAGGUUUACAAAACUCGAACUGUGAAAAUUUAAAUAGGUCUGUAUGCAUACAUCUAAAUGGGUAUUUUUGGGAAAAACCAUGCCACAAGCUUUUGAAAAAAUGAUUUUCUGUAAGAAAUUAAGUCUCAGACUCCGAUGUCGGUCCUACUUUAGUUACAGUUACUCUUGAAACUUUAGAUAAACUGCGAUCCAUAGACUGUAAAUACUUAGGAAAUAGCUAAUGCUUGGAUUAGAAACUAUAGAUAUACUUUAGAUUUUAAAAUUUUCAUGAAAGCAUUAUGAACACUCAAAGUAGAUGUGGUAGGGGUAGGCCGCAUAGGGCUGCACCCGUUGAACUGUCCAUUGUUUAGGGAGAAAACCCAAUCGUUGAGGAGUUCGUAGAGAAUUCUACCACCAAUUAUGGCGAAGGCUAUGAAAAUGAAGACGAUGCAGUUUUGCAAGUGAUGUUAAGGGUUCUGCAAAAGGUUGUUGAAGCCCACACGAGAUCGAUGAGCCAUGGAUCUGUUACAGAGAGGCUCCGAUCUAAUUGAGCAAAAAUAUUCAAGAGUGUUGCUGGAACGACCCCUACCGUGGCUGAGUACUGGAUGGAGUUGACGGAGAGGAUUCUAGAGGAUCUUGAUUGUACUCUAGAAUAAAAUUUGAAGGGCAUUGUGCCAUUAUUAAGAGAUGAAGCGUAUCGUUGGUGGCAGUAGUUGUGAGGGGUACACAGGUUGAACGUUUGACCUGAGAACAUUUCUAGGAAGGUUUUCAAAAGAAGUAUGUGGACACUAGAUAUGUGGAGUCUCGAAGACUCAAGUUCAUCAAGUUGAAGCAAGGGGAUAAGGUUGUGGUAGAAUAUGAGGUUGAAUUUCUAAGACUUAGCCGUUAUGGUCAAGGUAUGGUCACCACAGAGCAAAACAAAUGUGUGAGGUUUGAAAAUGGGUUACGUUUUGACCUCAAAAUUCAGGUUGCUCCACACUAGGAAUAGGUGUUUGGUACCCUUGGGGAGAAAACCAAAAUUGUGGAGGAGAUCAAAUAGGUGAAAUGCGAAAAACAGAAGAAGAGUAAGGUCCCGCUUAAGAGAGAUCUUGGUUCCACUAGUUCAAAUUCUCCGCAAUAAAGGGUUGUUGUAGUUAAUUUUGAUUAUAUGAUUUACAAAUGUACAUAUUGUGGUAAGUGCUACCCAGACGAGUGUCGGAAGAAAUUAGGUGCUUGUCUGAAGUAUGGAUCAACGAAGCAUAUGGUAAAAGAUUGCCCUCGAUAAAAUAGGCAAGCACAAGCUUUGACCCAAAAUCAGAGAGUGGGUCAAUUACUUCUGAGGGGCCGAUGUCAAAAUAGGGCUAGACAACCUACCCUUAUUUAUGUCAUUUGAGGUCUUAAGGAUAGAGAUACGUCCGAUGUUAUCACAGGUUAAUUUUCCAUUCAUUAUGUCUCAUCUUUUGCCUUGAUCGACAUAUGAUCCACCCAUUCAUAUGUUACUUGUAAUAUGUCUGACAAACUGGGUAUUGGGGUAGAGGAAACCACUACUGAAGUUACUAUAGUAAGCCAUUUAGGAUAAUUGGUUGUUGUAGAUAAAAUCUAUAGGAGAUGCCUAUUGGAGGUUCAAGGGGUAGUGUUUCUAGCAGAUCUUAUGAAAUUACCUUUUGGAGAGUUUGAUUUAAUUCUAGGUAUGGAUUGGUUAGUAGAACAUCAAGUUAGCUAGAUUGUGCCUCCAAAAGAGUAAGCUUGAAAAUGGCUGAGGGUAAUGAGAUCAUUAUGGUUGGGGAGCGUCGAAACUAUUUAGCUAAUUUGAUUUUUGCUAUUGUAUCUAAAAAAAUAGUUCGGAAAGGGUGUGAGACUUAUUUAGCCUAUGUAAUGGUUGGGAAUGCAAAUAGCUCUACUAUUGAAAGUAUUCAAACUGUUAGAGAAUUCCCAGAUGUAUUUCCUGAGGAGCUACAAGGGUUACCUCCAAAAUAUUUGGUAGAAUUCAGAAUUGAGUUGUUUUUAGGAAUUGCCAGUGUCCAUUUCUCCCUACCGUAUGGCACCUAAAGAGCUUCAAGAAUUGAAAAUCCAACUUCAGGAGAUUUUGGAUCGUGAGUUUAUUAGACUUGGUGUUUCUCCGUGGGGAGCUCUAAUUUUAUUUGUCAAAAAAAAAGAUGGCUUCCUAAGGUUGUGCAUUGAUAAUCGAUUGUUGAAUAAACUGAUUGUUAAGAAUAAAUAUCCUCUGCCUAGGAUCGACGAUUUGUUUGAUCAAUUCCGUGGUGCAGCGGUGUUUUCCAAAAUGGAUUUAAGGUUUGGGUACUACCAUUUAAAGGUGAAGGAGGCAGAUAUGCCUAAAAUCACAUAUAAGACUCGAUACGGUCACUAUGAAUUCCUUAUAAUACCUUUUGGAUUAACCAAUACUACGACCGCCUUCAUGGACUUAAUGAACCAAGUGUUCCAACCCUUUCUUGAUUAGUUCAUCGUUGUGUUCAUCGACGACAUCUUAGUUGAUUCAAAAACCAAAAAUGAACAUCGUAGGAAAGUUUUUCAAAUCCUUCGCGAAAAGAAACUAUAUGCCAAACUGAGUAAAUGCGAAUUUUGGCUGAAGGAAGUUAUUUUUCUAGUACAUUUGGAAUUCGUAGAGGGUACCCGUGUAGAUCCAAGAAAGAUUAAGACUAUUCUAGAAUAGAAACAACGCAAAAUGUUUCUGAAAUCUGAAGUUUCAUCGGUUUAGCUGAAUACUAUUGUAGAUUUGUUGAAAGGUUCUCUCUGAUCGCUACUCCACUAGCCAAGUUGUUGAGAAAGAAUGUUUCAUUUAAAUGGACCGAUAACCGGCAAGCUAGUUUUGAAAGGCUAAAAUUGGUGUUGACUCAAGCUCUCGUCUUAAUCCAGCCCUAGUUGGGAAACGAGUAUGUGGUAUAUAGAGAUGCGUCCUACACUGGUCUUGGAUGUGUGUUGAUGCAAGGUGGAAAAGUAGUUGCCUAUGUGUCGAGACAAUUAAAAAAAUAUGAAUGCAACUAUCCGACUCAUGACUAGAUCCACCAAGAUAACUUAAAAAUAAUAAACUACUCAAAUUUAUUUUUAUUGUUUAAAAUUUAUUAUAUUAUAUAUUAUAUGGACAUACUUCUUAUUACAAUUUAACAUUUUAUUGGAAAAAAAACAUAUUCAUCGUAUUUUCAACGAUCAAUAAAAAAAAUAAAACUACUUGACUUGAAAAUUGAUAUAUGAGACCCAAUGAUUAGACCUGGUCAUGGGUCAGGCUAUCGACCUAGAUCCAAAGGCUUUCGUUCGAAAUUUGGGAAGUUUUGGAUAAAAAAAUAUCAGGCUCAAAAAAUAGGCAUGAGCAAAAAAAUUAGGCUUGACCCAUUUUUAAGUUUAUGAUACUUUAUAUUAUGUUAUUUUUAUAAAUUAUGUAAUUUAGAACACAUUAAAAAAAUAAACCUAUACUAAAUAUAUAAUACUAUUCUAAUGUAAACAUUAAAAUAAUGUUAAGAUGACUAUAUAAAAAAUUUCAAUAAAUAAAAAAUGUAUAAAAUGUAUAAAAUUAUUAAAUAUUAAAAUACUAUAAUAUAAAUAUUUUUUAAAAAAAAUAAUAUGUGUGGGUUUAAAAUGAGCUUGGGUUAGUCUUUUACAAAUAUGGGUGGGUUUGGGCAAAAUUUUAAGCUCAUAUUUCGGGCUGAACAGAGCUUAAACAAACAUAAAAUAUGUUAAUAUCAUGCUUAAAUCAAGCAAAUAAAUAAAUAAAUAAAUAAAUAUCUAAUAAAAUUAGAUUAAAAUAUAUCAUAAAUAUUUAUACUUUUCAAAAAUUUUAAAUUUAAAUCCCAUAAUUUUAUUUCUAAAAACAAUUAUUCAAACAUGACCGCUUGACUCUUUGAAUAAUGAUUUUUUUUUCACAAUUAAUUUAACAUGUUUUUUCUUUUUCAAUUUGAUUUGUAAACUCCAGAGUUGUAAUUCAGAAAUUUAUAUUUUAAACCCAUCAUUUAAAAUAUUUUUAUAUUGAAUUAAGACAAAAGGAAAAAUAAUUGAAAGUUGUAAAUCAUAAUUAAAAUAUAUUUUAAUUUCUAAUAUUUUAUUGUGCAUGCAUAAUUUUACUAAUGGCAAUGAUAUCCAAAAAUUAAAUAUUAUCAUUAGGCAUGUGAUUAGUUGAUAGAGCUCAAAUUUUUCAUAUUUUAGAAAAAAAAAACUUUAAUUUAUUACCAUUAGUUUGAUAAUAGAUUUACCUAAUAUUAAAUAAUUAAGUACUAAUUUUUUUAUUAAUACCAAAUCAAUUAAUUUAAUACACUAUAUAAAAUUAAAUAUUCCAUAUAAUUUCUUUCUGAAAAUGGACAUAUUAAAGAAAAGGAAAUUAUGGCGACUAUAAAAAAAUCUUAUUAAAAGUCACCAGCUCAUUUACGUUGUUUCAGUUUUAAUAAUGCCUAAAAGACGAAAUAGUCAUCCACGUGCAUGACUGAAUUUGGACUGGAAUAGAGUGUUGAAAAGAAUGGAAAUUUUAUUAUGUAAUAGAAAAUUAAUUCCUUAAUUAUAAAAGUCAGCAAUUUAGUCCCUUUGCAUUUAAUUUAACCUUUAACGUAGGGGCGAAGCUAGAAAAAAUUUCUGAGAAUCAGGAUUAAGUUGUAUAUUUUUAUGAGAGAUAAAAUAUAAUUUCACCAUUUUAAUAACUUAUAUCUUUACAAUUUUCAAAGGAUUAAAUUAAAAUUCAUCAUUUAUUAAAAUAAUCCAACACUUAAAUACAUAACCCAUUUUCUCCCACACGUUUUACUAUUCCCAAAUUCUUUGUUUCCACCAAGUCCAUAACUAGAUCCACCAAGAUAAAAGGAGUGAACAAUAAUACUAUCCAAAGUAGACUCAGCAACUACCCCAAUAAUGGCAUGAACAUCACGGAACUCAAUCAAUUAGCACUUAAUCGUUUUUAACGAGCUUGGUGUUGUACUUUUAUAACGACAACCAACAUGGAUUAUUGUACACUUAGAAUUAAUUAAAUUAAAAGAUUUUAAAUUAUAAAAGGAUUAAAUAUAAAAUUUUCCAUUUUAAGGGUUGGGAGCUCAAAUUUGAAAUUUAAUUUAUGUAUAUUUUUUUAAAAUUAGGUCAUGUACUUUAAUUAAGAUAAUUUGAUGCUUUACUUUAGGUUUUUUUUCAAGUUCAAACAAGCUCGAAAUAUGGACAUAAAAUUAUAUUUAAACAUGUCCAUAUUUAAAAAUAGUUUUAAAUUUGUUCAUAUUAUUUUUAAUUUAAUAAUUAAUAAUUUUUUAUAUUUUUCCAUUUAUUAAAAUUUUAUAUAUAAGCAUCUUAACAAUAUUUUAUGUUUACAUCAUAGUGUUGUAUAUUACGAUAGAUUUAUUUUUUAUGUGUUAUAAAUUACAUAGAAUAUAAAAAAUAACAUAAUACAAUAUAUUAAAACUUAGAAAAUUGGUUGGGUUAGGCUCGAGUCUUAAAUGUUUGAGCUUGAUCCUAGCCCAUAUUUUAAAUAGGCCAAUUUUUUACCUUGUCUAUUUUUUAGCUUAAUAUUUUUCCUAAAUCCUUCCAAAUUUGGGGUGGGCAUUCGAGUUUAGAUAAGUAACCUAACCCAUAAUCAUGUCUAAAAUUAAUGACAAUUAACUAUUUGCUGUUAAAUAUUAAUGUGAAUUUUUUUCCCUUCAAAACACCUAUUCUAAGCCAUCACAUAAACAUGAGUUUUUUUAAUUGAAAAAAAUCACAUAAACAUUUAAAAAAAUUAAAUAUAAAAUUAAAUCUUAAAAUUGAGUAUAAGAGAGGGACACAAAACAUAAUUUGACCUUUUUUAUAAAAUUAUCAGCCGUUCAACUUGUGUCAAUAUAAGUGCGUCAUGCAUGUAUUACUUAAAAGUCUAAAGCAGAAUAAGUGCAUGGUGGAAAGGGAUGGCCAAUGACGAUUAAAAAAAAUCACAUCCAAAGUUGAUUUUUUGGUUUAAUCAUUAAAUUAUACUUUUAGACAAUUUAUUUAUUUUAUUAAUAAGUUAUUAAGGCCAGGUGAAAGAAGUAAAUGUCUUUAAAGCACAUUUCGCUCAGCUAGUGAUAUCUUUCCUUAUAAGCGAGUUUUCAUUUUUAUCUUGGAUGAAUUUGCUAUCUUUGAGGAGCUCUUGUAGGUCUUGGGAUGCCAGUUUGAGUUGCCAUACUGCUCUUGUUUUAUUAAGGAUGAUGUUGAUGAAUUUACGAUCUUUUAACAGGAACUUACAGAAGGUAAUAUUGUGAGAUUUUAGAAGAAUAAUAACGAAUGUCAUAGAGUGAGGAUCAUUGCUUUAAGCUUGGAAGGUGCGAUGUGGCUUUUGACUGCAGACAAUUUGAUCGCCAUUGUCAUUGUUCUAUGAUGGUUCACUCCGAUUGCUGCAGACGUCAAGAUGAAGCGUCCAUGAAGUGUGUGUACCACCUUCUUCAAUAGAUGGAAGAACUUGCCUAAGACUGUUGAUAUUCAAAGGAGUGAUAUUGAAAGAGUCCAUAAUUGAGAGUUGCCUUCUAAUGGACUAUGAGUGAUACUCUUAAAGGUGAGUUCAUUCCUUGCUUUCCAUAUUGACCACGACGUGCAGAUGCAGGCCGUAUAAAAGUAUCUCGAGGCUAAAGAAUUGAUUUCAUUAUUUUGCAGCUAUGAAGCAUGAACACGGACAGGUAAUAUUGGUACAACACGAUAUGAAUAUGGCGACACAAUAAUUUUAAAAAUUGAGGACACAAAUACAACAAUAAAAAAAAUAUUAAAAAUAUUUAUACAUAUAUUUUAUGUUAAAAAACCUAUUUACUUUUUAACAUUUAUUUUAUUUUUUGGAAAAAAUCUAGAACUUUAAAUCCAACCUAAUAUAUUAAAUCAAUUUACAAAUAGCCCAAGACAGAUCUUGGGCUACCCACAAUAAACCCAAAAGGCAACCCAACCCAAUAUUUUAAAUUGAUUACAAAUAGCCGAGACAGCCUUUCAUCUUUUUCAAGAAAACCCUAAAACUUUCAACCUUACUUUCAAUCUUUCAUUCCUUUCAUGAAAAAAAAAACAGGGAAAAAAAUCUACAUUCUGCUUCUUUCACUCUCAAUUGAGGUUUUUUAAUCCGAUGCCUCUAUCCAUCGUCACUGUGUCGGGAUCAUGUUUGUUUUUAAACACCCGUGUCGUGACUGUGUUUGAUUUUUUUUUUUUUUGACGUAUUCAGACAUGUCCUAGUAUGUCGGGACCGUGUUCAAGGAGGGAUGAGCCGUGUCCGUGCUUCCUAAUUUUGAAACCAUUUGAAAAUCCAAGAAUAGAAUGAGGAAAGAUUAAAAGUAUCAACACGCAAAAGAGAGAGGGGAGAUCCAAACCAUACUCAAUUGAACAAACAGAUGUUUUAAGGAUUCUGCAUAUGCCUGGCAUAGAGGACUGUUGCUAUUUGCACCAACAUUACAAAGGUAGUUGUUGCAUAUUUUUCGUAAAAAAAAGGAUGAUUUUGUGGGUUUUAUUAAGUUUUAAGUUCAAUCCAAUAACAACUUUAUUGGCCCAAACCCAUGAAACCCAACUAAGAUCCCACCCUCCAUUCAAAUCCUUGGAAUUCUUCUUUAAGCCAGUUUUGUUAAGUGAAAAAAGCAUAGCUUAUCUUCAUAAUCCAACCUUCAACAACAAUCUGGAUAUUUAACUUUUCUUUCCCUAACUUUUAUUUCGAAUUGGGCUAAAAAUUAAGUAAUUCAAGGGAAAAUAAAGGAUAUUUAACUCUCUUUAUUUUUCCUUACCUAAAUUAAAAAAGUCCAAAUAACGGAAAAUGUGAUAAUUUCCUUUCCGUUUCCUUGUUUUUAUGCAAUUCAAGCAAAUGGUUCAUACUAUAGGUAGAUAGAUAAAGUUGGUAAAACAGUCCCAAGCCUAUAAUAGAUUUGAGCUCAAAGAAGCUCGUGUUCAAGGAAAUUUGAGCUCGAGAAAGCCCGAUUUUACAAGAGUUUGAGUUCAAGAUCGAUUUGACUCAAGUCCAAAAUAAAUCUGACCCAAAACCCAAAUUUAUAGCUAAACAACAAUAAUAGACAUUAAUAAUUACUAUAAUUUUGUGAUAUUACUAAAAUAAAAAUAAAAAUAAAAAUAAAAAUAAAUCGUUAUUAUUUAUUUUAUAAAAAUAUGUUCAUAAGCUUUACAUAUUUAUAUUAAAAUGUUAUUAAUAACAAAUGCAAUUAUAAUAAUUUUUAUGUUAAAUUAUAAAGUGAAAUAUUUUAAAAAAACCAUUAACUGAAUAUAAAAUACUUUUUAAUACUAUAAAUAUAUAUGUAUAAUAAAUAUAUAAAAUUAUUAAUUAUUAAAAUCUAUAAAAUUUAAAUUUAAUGAUUAUAUAAUAUAUAUAAUGGCAUAAUAUAUUAAUUUAAUUAUAUGAUAAUUAGUGUUCUGCUGAUCACAAAUGAUUAAACAUGAUUUAUUAUACUAUACUAAUAAUAUUACUAAUAAAUUUAAUUCUAAUGAUUUUGGAAUUUAGGUUUUACUUUAAGUAUUUUUAUGAUUUGGGAAUUUAUAUUUUAGUUUUAGUUUUUUAAUUAUUAAUGUUUAAUUUUUUUAAUAUUAAAUUUUUAUUAAUACUAUUAUCUGUAUAAUAAUUUUUAAUUUAAAGUGGAUUUAUUUUAUUUAGGUUGGAUUUUGAAUAAAGUUUAAAUUUGUUUAGGUUUAGGUUUAGGUUUGAGUUUGGUUGAUAUUGGAUUUAAGUUUGGAUUUAAAUAUAUAUUAUAUUUAAUAGUUGUAAAGUUGGCUAAUUUGGUUUAAAAGAUUUUGAAUUUCAAUAACAAAAUUGAACCAGCUGUUAGAAAAUUUUCAGUUUGAAAAUGAUUUUCUUGUACAGUGGAAAAUUAAAAUUUUAAAAAUUGACUCGGUUUGUGAUAUUUAUAGCAAUAAAUCUUAGACCGAAAUUGUACCUAUGUUUUUUGGUAAGUAAAUCCUUAAUUUUUUUUCGGCUUUUAACUAAAUGAUCUUCUCCGCUAUUCUCAUACCACGAACUGCUUCGAGUGCCGGUUUGAACCAAUUGAAUCAAAACACAGAACUAGAAAAAGUUUUAUUUUUCUUUUCGGGUGAAAAUGAAAAUGCUCUCUUCUUUAAUAGAAACUGAUAGAAUUGUUAUUCUAGAAAAAUAUAUUUAAUAGUUGAGAAUAAAUUCUUUCUAUUUCCAAUAGAGUAACAAUCUCUCAAACUUGUCUUAAUAGUUGUACUGGUGUCAUCUAUUCAUAGGAAGAGAAAGUAGAAUCCUUGUUGAGUUGUAGUGGUUUAUUUCAAAUAGAAAAAGAACUUCAUACUUAGAGUGGAAGUAUGGCGGACAGCACACCUUAGUAUUCCUACUAGGGUUCGCACCCCCUUCAUGUUACAUAAGUAGAUUUUGGGUCUCUUUCAUAUCGAGUCCAAUUACGAGUACUUCUUGAGCUUUUUGACCCAGUACUUUUUAAUUUGAUCCAACCCGAUUCUAUUUUUCUAUUUUCUAAAGUAAAAUUCAAUAUAUUAAUAUUAAAUAAUUUUCUCAUCCAAAAUUUACCCCAGAUAAAAUUAUGACAAUUUUAUUUCUAGUAAAAUUUUGAGAAAAUAUGUUUAAUAUUUCACCACUCAACAUGUUCACUAUGACCAAAUGAUUUAUUUUCACUAGCUCAAAAACAUAAACUCAUUCUUCUGAUAAUUUCUGAGUAAUUCAUGGAUAUUUGCAAAUGAAUCAUUUCUCAUUUUCAUUUUCAUUUCCAUUUUGAGAAAACCAUAAUCAUUUCUAAAUGAUUCAAUUUCUCUAUUUUUAUUUAUUCUAUUCAUUUUGAUUCAAACAUAGAAUUCAUUUAUGGUUUCAACGAGCUAGUGGAGGGACCAGUUGAACAUAUGUAAUUAAGGCACAAAUGAUUUAUAAUUAAAUUCUAGCUUUUGCCUAUUAAUUAUAAACUCAUUUAGUCAUAAAGUCAUUCUAAUAUAGUAUCGUGACUGAGCUCUCCUUAACAAUAUACCAUUAUAAAGGCUACUACUUAGUGCUCGUUCAGUGACCUUGUCAUAAGUGUGUUACCCUCAUAGGAUAUCCUUGAUCUCUUUGGGAUAAUAUUUUUUCUCCCAAUAUGAUCUUAUUUUAUCUCAUGGUAACCAUUACAUAUUCCUUCAUAAAAAAGUCAAUUACUAUCAAAUAGUAAUCAAGUCAUUCAUCACAAAGAUGAACAACCUGUGGCCAAGUUUACUUUUCAUCAACCAUGUAAUGCUAAUGAGAGUAUAUCAUUUACCCAUGUAUUGGGAUACGAAUUCCACUGUUCUGAAUAAUGCUACAUACUGCCGAAGUCGUACAGCCAACACACCAGCUUUCAGUUCCUUAUCUAUUCGAACUCAGGCUUUUACUUACAUCAAAGUGUACGAGUCACGCAUACAUAGUCCGUCAUCCACACAGGAUUUAGGUAUGCUACACUAUGAACGUCAAAAGUAAAAAAGCCAUAAAUGAAUUCAGAAUCUAUUCUACUUGGUUCUUGUCCGAUGUACUGUCAGUUCAGUCAGUCAUGUAACACCCCAAACCUAGCCUAGAUGUUAUGACCAAAUCUGGAGAUGUCACCAAUUCAUUUGAAGAUUUCGAAACCAUUUUGAACCAAUAAAGUAAUUAGAGCUAGCUUGCAAUGUGUAAAAUUCCAAUUUAUUUAGUGAAAUACUUUCUCUUAAAUAAUUCAUUAAUUUGCUGAUGAACACUUAUAAAAUCACUUACUCUUCGCAGCUGAAUGUCUUAGUUAAAUAGAGUUUUGGAAAACACAAUUUGGUUUUGAAAUCCAACAUUUUGCAAAUAGAAUUAGUAUAAUCUAAAAAAGUUUAAACGAUUUUAAAAUAAUAUAAAAUUCAAAAUUAAAAACAAUCUCAAAAGUCCAAAACAAUCCAAUAGAACUAAAUAGAUUAGACAGAGAAAAGUUAAGGGAAAUCUAAAGCAAUUAUAAUUAAUUGAGCUCCCGCAACAUCUAUCCGUCUUAUGUCUGUGGCUUACUUGAGAACAAAUAAACAGAAAGUGAGCUUACGAGCUUAGAGCAUAACUCAUUUAAGAAAAUAAAAUAGAGACACAUAUUUCAUUAGAUUAAGAAAUGAAUACAUGCUCAGAUUCAAGAUCCAUUAUAUUUCAUAAACAGAUAUAGAUACAAAUGCUUAAUAGAUACAAAUACAAAUGCAUAACAAAUACAUAACAAACACAGAUUUAGAUCUUACCCCCAUCUGCUACACACCAUCUCUGACCAUCUUUACACACUAAUUAGUGUAUUAAAUACUCAUCUAGCCCCACACACUGCUAAGUGGUCAUAUGUCACUUUUCAGAACAAAUGCAUACUAGAUGCCAGAUCAAAUUGCGGUAACCCACUAGAAAUAGAUGUACAUGGCUAAGCUAACAAAUAAGCUAGAUAAAUCAAAUUGCCAUCACUUCCUCCAAAAUCAUAGUCCCAACCCUAAUGCACAUUCAAAAUUAAACAAAGAUUGAAUGCAUGAAAGACAUACAUGCUAUACACAUCAUAUUCAGAUCAUGCUAGCAUAAUACACAUCAUGCUAUUAGAUAUAACAUACAUUUCAUGCGUUCAUAGGAUACAUUUAACAAAAACAAUGUAUCAAAAAUCAUAAUUUAUAAUCGCUUUUAUACCAUACAGACCCUACAGAAGGGCUAAAUUUGAAUAGCACGAUAUAUACGACCCUAGGGUAAAUUUUCCAAAAAAGGCCCACACGGCCUCACACACUCCUGUGGGGUCCACACGACCCAAUUGACCCAGACCGUGUGGUUCAUAUGGCCGUGUGAUGUCGACAAUCAAAUUAUUUGCUUUGUGUUGUUCGCUAGUUUUUGGGUUUUUCGUUACACAUCUUGCUUGAUUUUGAUGCGAAUUCACUCACGAGACUUCCAAAACCUAAAAACGUCAACUAAACUAUCCAUUAGAACGAUUACCCAAACUUGAUUUACUAAAUCGAUAUUACCAAAAAUAAGGUUUUUAACAAUGAGAUUCGAUCUUAAACCCCUAAAUUGAACUUUUACCCUCAAGAGAACAGUAAACCACCAACAGAUUCUAGGUCACCGAAGGAUUAAUCGCCUCUCCAACUUCACCUAAAAACUCAAACAAUUAAUAACAAUACUCAUACACCAAUAAUACAAUACUCAUGCGAUGAAAUACCAAGCUUAAACAUCAAAAACUAAUUUACUUAUGCCAAGAUUAACCACAAACAACCCUUUUUAAAAUCCCAUUUUCAUUUGAACAAGAUUGACAAUACAACAAUGGCCACAAUUUCUAAUAGAAUAGAAAGGGAGCAAAAUAAGAGAGAGAAUCAAACUAAUAGAAAACACAAGAAACCAAAAGAAAGUGAAUGACUGAGAGUGGGGAAAACAUGGAAAAGAAGAAGAAAAAGAAAGAAAAUAUAAAAUAAAAUAAUUUAAGAGUGAGGAAACAUGCCAAAAGGUUUGGCUUGUGAACUAAAAACACAAAUUAAUAAUAAAAAAUAAAAAAUGGUAAUAUCCAAUCAACAUAUUUGAUUUUGAUAACUUAUCAUAUUUUUCCCAAAGUUUGGAUUUAACUUAACCACAAAUACAAAGUAGCACCAAACAUGAGACCAAAAAUAUAUUUCCACUUUGCAUACGUAAGGAUUCAAACACAAUACCAAAGGGUAAGUUGACACCUUACCACUGAACCAGUAGACUCACUCUGUCACAAGUUGAGCUAUCAGUGUAACACAUGCGUGACACAUGCUUAAACUUUGACCAUUUCAUAUGGUUGUUUAAACUUACUAUAUCAGUAUUGUUAGCUUAAUUUUAGGUAGUUUAAACUUUGAUCUCAUCUCCUAAAGAAUAGGGAUUAGCUCGUGUAUAGCUUGUAUAAAUUCCUCUGUAACUUUGGUCAUUGAAUAUAGAAAACUAAUUCCACAAUUCUCUGCUUCUUUAUGGUAAUCAGAGCUUCCAAAUCUUAACCGAUCCAAAUCCAGUUUUUUCCUCUAAUCUCGUCCCCUCCAAUGGCCUUCCCUACUGCUAGUGGUGACAACAAUCUCACCACAUCGCCGGUAAUUCAAUUUCAUCCAGCAUCUCAGCUCCCGAUCAAGCUCACUGGGAGUCUCAACUUCUCUACAUGGAAAGCUCAAUUUUCCAUACUUAUGUAUGGCCACGAUCUCUACGGCCAUCUCGAUGGCACCGAACCAUCUCCUACACGCACCAUUGGCGAGAGUGACAACCCAAAUCCAGCCUUUAGCCUUUGGUUUCGACAAGAUCAACUCAUUCAGAAUGCGCUUAUGGCAUCGGUCGAUCCGACCAUUGCACCUACGGUGGCCAACGCUUCCUCCGCUCAACGUGCCUGGGAAGCCCUCCACUCUACUUAGCCAACAAGUCUCACUCUAGGCUCUUUAGUCUUCGCGACCAGCUUGCUCGCAUCUCCAAAGACACUCAAUCUAUUUCAGCAUACCUCUCUCGUGCUCGUGCAAUUGCUAAUGAACUGGCUGCGGCUGGUGCCCCACUUGCUGAUGGAGACUUGGUCGUUCACAUUCUUCAUGGUCUUGGCUCCGAGUAUCGUGAAAUCUUGGCUGCCAUUAGAGCCAGAGAUGUGACCAUGUCAUAUGAAGAUUUGUGCGAUAAGUUAAUGGAUCAUGAGGUGUUCUUAGCCCAUGAAGAAUCCAAGAAGCCGAUGGCUCCUAUAACAGCUGCGGUAGCACAACGCGCAAGGUCUUCGAACAACACUACCCCUCGGAACAACCGAAGAAAUUCCCAGCCGUGGCGUAAUAAUGAACGAUCCAGCAACCAAUCCUCUUACUGGCAAGACAACAAUCGCUCAUCAAAUGGACGCAGAAACAAUUCUAAUUCGGAUGUUCGCUGCCAAUUAUGUAAAAAAACAGGACAUGAAGCGGAUGUUUGUUGCUCAGCCUCGCACAACCAUUAUGAGGCUAAGACAAAUUUUGCAAUGACACAUUCUCAGAAUCGAAACACAUGGCUGGUUGACUCUGGUGCAUCGCAUCACAUGACUUCCGAAUCUCAUGAUAUGCCUCAAUAUUUUGGAAAUGAUGGUAUUACUAUUGGCAAUGGUAUGAAAAUUCUGGUAACUCACUCAGGCACAACACACUUACAAGCAUCGAAUUCUGUUUUUAAGCUUCCUCACACUUUUUGUGCUCCUAAGCUUAAACGCAAUUUAAUUUCGGUUUCACAAUUUUGUCAUGAUAACCAAACAUCAAUUGAAUUUUUCCCAUCUUACUUUUGUGUGAAGGAUCUCACCACAAAGACACCAUUGGUGCACGGUUGGAGUAGAGAUGGACUGUACGAAUGGCCUAGCCGAUCGCCUUCAUAACCCACAGCCUUCACUGCCCAUCACACCAUGCCAAAUGCAGUCUGGCAUCAUAGGCUAGGUCAUCCAAAUUUAAGACUUUUCAAUUUUAUUUGCAGCAAGUUCCAGUUAUCAGUUUCAACCAAAGACAAUUUUACGACUUGUAAUUCUUGUCAAUGCAAUAAAUCCCAUCAUUUGCCGUUUAAAGAGUUUUCUCUCACAAGUACAAAACCUUUGCAAACUAUUUUCUAUGAUUUAUGGGGUCCUUCUCCAGUCCUUUCCAUUGACAACAAGUUAUAUUAUUGUAUCUUUGUUGAUUAAUUUACCAAGUAUACCUGGUUAUUUACUUUGAAACUCAAAAGUGAAGUUAAAACCAUUUUCCAAAUGCUCAAACCAUUGCUUGAAAAACACUACUCCACAACCAUUCUCUCCUUCUACACUGAUAGAGGGACUGAAUACAAGAGCCUAGACCCAUACCUUCAAACCAAUGGUAUUGAACAUUUAGUGAGUCCACCUUACACACCACAACAAGUAGCCACUGUAGAGCGUCAACAUCGACACAUAGUUGAGAUGGUAAAAUCCUUACUACACCAAGCUACCCUUACUCCCUCAUUUUGGUCAUUUGCUUGUCACCAUGCGAUCUACUUAAUCAAUCGCAUGCCCACUCCCUUGCUGUAGUAUAAGUCCCCCUAUGAACAACUACACCAUAAAACACCAACCUAUGAUAACAUUAAAAGCUUCGGUUGCUUGUGUUAUCCAUGGCUCAAACCCUACGCUAAUCAUAAACUUGAUCCCAAGUCCAAGCCAUGUGUCUACCUCGACGUGUCAAUCACUCAUCAUUCUCACAUUUGUUAUGAUCCUGUGAAUUCCAAGGUCUAUCUAUCUCGUGAUGUCUCAUUUGUUGAAACCGAGUUCCCGUAUCAAACAUGAUUCCGUAACUUGUUACCCACCUCCAAAAUCAUUGAGUGGGAUAUGUUUCCCACCAACAAUUGUGAACAUCACUCCCCAGUGCACCCAAACGAACCUGCCUUACCUUUCUCAAUUCUCGAACCAUGUCUGCCCCCAUCCAUGGUCUGUUCUCAACAAACCCCACCAACCAGGACUAUCGACUCGUGUCCGGCACCACUGGCGUCCUCGAUCAUCCCAGGUAUGUAUUCUCCUCCUACUACUCCUUCGUCACCAAACAACGCCUCACUCACAACCUGAGGCAACCCCAGCCCUACCCGAUAACCCAAUUGUUUUAUCAACACCUAUUGACGAGUCAGCCUCACCCUCAUCCGAUGCAGCCCAUGUCUCGUCCCCAAACCCCACUGCUACUACCUCUUCCCCUCCGAUACCACAACCUUCCCCUGUUAUUCCACGAGUUGUCACUCGCUCCCAGAACAAUAUUUUUAAACCAAAAAAACCAUUUAGCUUCCUUACACUUGUCUCAACUGAAACCAUACCCACCACUGUGAACCAAGCUCAAAAACACAAAGAGUGGUGGGAUGUUAUGAAAGAAGAGCUUGAUACUUUAGCUCGAACUGAAACUUGGGAACUAGUUCCCAAAGAUAACACUAAAAAUGUUGUUGCUUGUAAAUAGAUUUUCAGGAUAAAACGCAAGUCGGAUGGAACGAUUGAUUGUUAUAAAGCGAGGCUGGUUGCCAAGGGGUUUACCUAACGGCCAAGCAUUGACUACCACUCAACCUUCAGUCCCGUGGUCAAACAAACAACGGUACGAGUUGUACUAUCCCUUGCCAUUUCAAAUAAUUGGGUGCUUCGACAGCUAGAUGUCAACAAUGUGUUUCUGCAAGGCGAUCUUACUGAAGAGGUUUAUAUGUCUCAACCUCUUGGUUUUGCAUCCUCUACUGCUCCGACUCAUGUAUGCUGUCUUAACAAAGUAAUUUACAACCUCCAGCAAGCUCCGCUGGCAUGGUAUACUGCCCUCACGACCUACCUGCAUGAGCUUGGUUUUGCCAAGUCUAAAUCUGAUCCUUCUCUCUUUAUAAUGUGCAAUGGUGCAGUCCAAAUAAUUGCUCUGUUUUAUGUCGAUGAUAUCAUUAUUACUGGGACUCAUACCUCCACAAUUGAUCGAGUUAUAAACUCUCUUGCCAAUCGAUUUUCAAUAAAGUAUCUUAGGCAUCUACACUAUUUUUUGGGAGUUGAGGUAACCCGAACCGUUGACAGCCUAUAUCUCACUCAAACAAACUACAUUGCCGAACUGCUCAAUGCUGAGAAUAUGCAGGAUUGUAAUCCUGCUCCUACACCGAUGAGGAGCACUGAUUCGUUAUCUUUACGUGAUGGAGCACCCUCAUUUGAUGCUACAUGCUAUCGUACAGUGCUUGGUAAAUUGCAGUAUUUAUCCUUUACAAGGCCUGACAUUAAUUACUCUGUCAACAAGCUCUCUCAAUUCAUGUAUCAACCAUCCGCGCUGCAUUGGAAAUCUUUGAAACGUAUACUACGAUAUCUGCGUGGCACCACUACACUUGGUUUGAGACUUCAAUCUGCGCAACAAUUUGAUCUAUCCAUGUAUGUUGACGCCGACUGGGUCGGGGAUCUUGAUAGUCAAAAUUCAACAUCGGGCAACAUUCUGUUUCUUGGACCAAACCCGAUUAGUUGGGUCUCCAAGAAACAACAAACCAUUGCUCGGUCAUCAACUGAAGCAGAGUUCAAGGCUGUUGCAAACUCUAUAUCCGAGGCCUGUUGGGUCACAAAUCUUCUUCUAGAAUCUGUAUCCGAGGCCUGUUGGGUCACAAAUCUUCUUCUAGAAUUGCGAGUUCAUCAAACAGUUCCGCCGACGGUAUAUUGUGACAAUGUCGGCAUGAUUUAUCUUAGUAAAAAUCCUGCAAUCCACACUCGUAUGAAGCAUGUUGCUGUCGAUUUUCAUUAUGUUCGAGAUAAAGUACACCGAAACCAGCUCCGUAUUGUUCAUGUUCAUGCCAAGGAUCAACUUGUAGACACGUUUACCAAACCCUUGGCAAAUAAUCUUUUCCAACUUCAUCUGUCCAAGCUUGGAGUUACUUUGAACUCUCAGUUUGGAGGGCGUAUCAGUGUAACACAUGCCUGACACAUGCUUAAACUUUGACCAUUUCAUAUGGUUGUUUAAACUCACUAUAUCUGUAUUGUUAGCUUAAUUUUAGGUAGUUUAAACUUUGAUCUCAUCUCCUAAAGAAUGGGGAUUAGCUCGUGUAUAGCUUGUAUAAAUUCCUCUGUACCUUUGGUCAUUGAAUAUAGAAAACUAAUUCCACAAUUCUCUGCUUCUUUAUGAGCAGAAAUAAAAUUUAAGUCAAAUGUACAGAGAUAAAGAUAGGAACAAAAAUAACAAAAAUUCCCAAGAGUGAGAUUUGAACCCAUGACUUGAAACACACAUCCAAAACACUUAACCAUUAAAUCAGAUCACUUAACUUGACAAAAUUUAACAAAAUAAAAACUCAAAUUUGGGGGCGUUAUAACUUUCCCCCUAAAAGAAAUUUUGAUCUCGAUAUUUACUCGAUUUGAACAGACAUAGAUAUUGCUGUCGAAUCGAGUCAUCCGGUUCCCAAGUGGCUUAUUAUUAACCAUGAUGCCGCCAUAGAACCUUAACCAAUGAAAUGUCUUUCUCCUUAAGACCUUAAUCUCAUGAUCAAGAAUUUGAAUUGGUUCCUCCUCAAAUGUCAAAUCCUAUCUCACCUCAAUCUCCUCGAUAAACACAAUAUGAGACAGACCGAUACCGCCUCAACAUAAAGACAUGAAACACAUCAUGAAUACAAUCUAACUCCAGAGGUAACUCUAACUAAUAGACGACUGACCUGACUCAUUUCAGAAUCCGGUAAGGCCCAAUGAACCUAGGGCUCAACUUGCCUUUACGUCCAAACAGAAUGACUUUCUUCCACAAAGAUACCUUAAGGAAAACUCGAUCUCCCACAACAAACUCAAUAUCCAUUAUUUUUAGAUCCGCAUAAGACUUAUGUCUAUCAGAAGCUACCUUAAGAUGAUCCCGAGUUAGUCAAACCUUAGCCUCAGUCUCAGAAAUCAAAUCAGGACCUAAAAUCCAUCUCACCCAACUCAAUCCAACACAAAGGGGUGCGAUACUUACGACCAUGCAAAACCUCAUAAAGCGUCAUUUGAAUACUGAACUGAAAGUUGUUAUUAUAUGCAAACUCAACAAGUGACAGAAACUCCUCCUAACUACCAUAGAAUUUGAUAACAUAACUUUGUAGCAUAUCCUCCAAAACAUGAAUCACUCUCUCAGAUUGCCCAUUAGUCUGAGGAUGAGAUGUAGUACUGAAUUCCAUCCAAGUACUUAGAACGAUGAAAAUAUGCAAGUGUACACAAUCAUUAUCAAGUAAUAAAGUGGCAAGUAAAUGUCGAAUUAUCGUACCCACAGGGACUGUUUAAGAAAAUUAUUUAUGAAAUGAAAUUCAAACACUUUGGUGAUUAAAAAUAUUUUUAUUUUGAGGAAGUGAUUAAAAACUAAAAUUUAACUAAGUAGAAUAAAAUAAAAUAAAAUAAAAAUUCCAAUACACGAUUUCAAAAAGUAAUCAAGAUGACAUAGUUGUGUUAGAUCAAUUACAUUUCUUAACUUAAUGUUACUAAAACAAUGUUCAUGUUGUUACAAAUAAGUUCACGACAACUUGGCAAUUUGUUAACUAUAGCACAUACGGACUUACUAAAUUAACUAAUCUCUUGAAUAUACCACUAUGCCAAUUAAAAUAAUUAAUAAAUUUAAAUAAGCAAGUAAAAUAUUAAGUGAGGUAACAAUUAAUAAAUUGAUGAUAAUUCAAGUUUAACUCAAUUUGAAUUUAAGUUAUUGAUAUUUUAUGAUCAAAUCAAGUUAAAUUAAGUUUAAAUUUAAAUUCAUCAAGUCAAAUUUCUAGUUCAGAUAAAAAAAAUAGCUACUCAAAUUUUUUUUUGUUUUUAAAAAUUUAUUCUACUAUAUAUUAUAUCGAGAUACUUCUAAUUACAAUUCAAUAUUUCAAAGAAAAAAAAACACAUUGCUCAUUUUUUCAGUCAUCCAUAUUUUCAUCCUAUUUUUAUAUUUCAAAGAAAAAAAAACAAUAUAAAAACAAUUAAAAUAUAAAAUAGUAGAUUUUUCACAACGAAAAGCUUGACAAGAACUUUAUUGAAUUAUUAUAAGGCAAAACAUUAUUAAUUAGAAUUUAAUAACAAUUCCUUGAGGAACAAGCUUGGAGAGGAAAAUUCAAUAUAAUUUCAAAGUGGGACUUGUUCAAUGAGCAAUGAAGUGAUUCCACCCUUAGUCACUUUUCCAACAUAUGUAUAGCCAUCUCCUUCCCUAUAAAGCACAUCCAUCACUCUUGUAAGGUUUAGGCUACGAUCAAAAACUUCUGUUGGCAUUUCUGUUGGUUUCAAAAACUCUUGAUUCAUAUCUUUCCAAGCACUCUCAAUAUAAUUGUUGAAUACAUCGUAUGUCUCUUCUGCUGUUACGCCAUAUUCUUCCAUGUAAUAGUCGACUGUUGACCAAUCGUCUUCUUUCCUAUGCUUGAACUACAGCCGUAAUAAAAUCAAAAUUAUUCUAUCAUUAUAUACCCUAAAAUUUGUCAGUAUAUUAAACUUUAUUGGUUUAGUGAUGAUAAAAUAGCUUUAUUGGCAAUACUUCUUCACUAUUAACCUUAAAAUGAAAUUAGUUUUCUUUUAUUCUUCUAUUUAAGACUAAACAUUUGAUAUAUAAACAUAGUUUGAUUUCGUUACAAGGACAUUCAAUUAUUGAGUUAAGAGUUCAAUUUCUUGUAAUUAUAUAAAUAUAUUAUUAUACCUUGUGUUCAACAACAUCAUCCAUAAACCUACAAAUAAUUGCAGAAGCUUGAAUGAUCUUAGGGUCAUUGGCUGCCCAUUUAAAGGUCUCUGGUGUUAUGAUAUCUCCCAUGCCGACAUAAGAUGUAAUAGCAAGCAUGGCAUAACCACAAGUUAGCAAUGCAUUAGCCUUAAACUUGUCAAAAAACGGUUUGUAUUUUUGAAUAGCCCAUUUGGCCUCCACAAGGUAGGAUUGAGCAAGUCGUAUAAUCUAAGGCAACAAAAUCCCAACAGUUAUCACUAAUAUCAAAUCAAAUUCUAUAAUAAUGUUUAAAUGACUAAAUAUUGUUAUUCAAGUUAGUUGUUUAAUCAAAUCUAGAAUUUAGCUAAUAUUUUAUCUCUUUUGCACAAAAUAAAUAUUUGUCGAUAUGCAUACUUCAUUUUUCACAUAUUCAACACGGUAUUAUCUGUCGUGCUUAGCCACCAGUUGUUCCAUUUCUUCAAAAAUAUCUAAUAGUGCCUUGUAGCUCAAUUUCAUGUAUUCUGGAAGUUGAUCUAUGCAUUUGAUAUCACACCUGAAUUCAACUUUAUUGUUAUAUUUGAUCAUUCCUCAUUAUAUAUAAAUGAAUGUUAAUCUCCAAUUAAAAAAAUUAAAGAUAUAACCUCUCAAUAGCUGCUGUAUAGGGAAUGAGCUCAUCAUAUGUUGCAUAUGAGUCAUAUGUAUCAUCUAUAAUAGAUGACAUUGCUAUCACUUUUGUCAAUAUCUUUCUACCAAGUGAGUAUUGGGGCUCAAAGUACACUCCCAAGGUCCAAAAAUAGCCUUCAACCACUCUAUCUCUUGCAUAUGAAAACUUUCUUCGAACGUCUAAAUCUUUCCACCACCUAAAAAAUCAUAUCAUAGAAGAGCCCAUUAACACAUUGAAUCUUCAAAAUUUUAAUUAGUUUCAAAUUCAUGUUGUCGAUGAGUAAAUUGUUAGAUUCUUGAUUCAAUUGGCAACCUCAUAUUUUAAAAAAUAUAUAAGUAAAAUGAAAUAGGUGAAAAAGAUUAAUCCAAGUUUCGUGUUGUCACUUUUAACUAAUUGUUAUUUAAUACGAAUAAAAUAUUAGCAUUUUCAACUUUUCUCGUAUAUUGAGGAUGAUGCUUCAUAUAAAUUCAAACCCCUCCACCAAAAAGUUAAAAAAGAGGAAAAAAGAAAAAGUGGGUGAAAAAGAUUCAAAAACAUACCUACAAAUCUCACUUAGCUCUUUCCUAUGCAAAAGUUGUAACAUGUUGAAAUCGAUCUUAGCAAACUCCAACAAAGCCUUAUUAUGGGACUCAAUAUCUUGGUAUACUGAAAGAUAGUGCCUUGCCUCAACCCUUGGCAAGCCUCUUCGAAUUGAUUGUUUCAAAGCAUGAGAAACCUGUUCGGACAAAGGGUAGUCCAAAGAUGCUACUACAAGGCUUAAAUGGUUGGUGGUGAAAGAAAUUGCUUCAUCCAAUAUAUCUUCCCCAUGAACCCUCAAAUAGGAGGCUUCAUAAAGUUCCAACAAUCCUCGAACAUCGAUUGUCACAAAUGAAUUGACAUUCCCUUGCUCGCCUUUAAACUUGUUGAAUACCUCUGAGAUCAAAUUACCCAAAAUGAUAUAUCAUUAUCAAACAUUCCAUGAAAUUUUAUACUCAAGAAACUUAAAACUCUAUGUUGUUGUUCCAAUAAAUACCACAUGAAACAUUGAAUCCAUGCUCUCGAAGUAGUCGGAAUCGAAGAGAUGUAGUAUAGAGGUCCUUCUCGGCGUCAUUGUCGUUAUGGUAGAUGUUCUCUAGUUCAUCUUCGAUCUCCUUCAUGAAAUGGUAACUCACACCCAAUCUUUGGACUGAAUCAAUGAAGGUUAACUUUUGGGUUGAAUUAGCCAUUGGUGCUACAAUCAUCUUCCGCACUUCUUCUUUCAAUUGUUGGUGGUGUUUUUCAGUUUCAUCAUCAAUAUUCUACUCAAAAUAAUGAAAAAUUUAUUCAUAUUGAAUCACUAAAUAAUUAAACAAAUAAUAUGUUCAGAUUAUAUUUCAAUAUGGUCAUAUGUAUGUAUACCUUGUCGGGAAAACUGAGGAAGAGAUCUCCCCAAAUGCUAGGCUGAAAAUCGGAUUUGGGACGCAUUUCAUCCUUAUUGGAAGAAAGGGUUGAUGAAGAAGGCAUUUGAGAAACUUGUGAAGCCAUUUCGAUUUAUCAAAAGUAAAUGUUCAAAAACUUUUAUGGUUUGCUCUUCAAAUUUGGCACAGAAUCUGUGAGGAUAAGAAUGCAACCAUUGCAUGUAUUUAUAGGUAAAAAAGAAAUACGUAGAUUAAAUUGUAAAGACAUAUAUCUAUUGCAUAGAUAAAAUUUUAUUGACACUAUUUUCCAAUACAUCAAAUUCAAGUUUCAUGUGGUAGAUUUUUAAAAUUUAAUCCGCGUGUUUUCACUACAUAGAUCAAGUUUACAAAUUAAUUCGUGUGUUUAAGUAUAUUCCACAUCAUAUCCUAAUUUACAUAUUUAAACUAUGAACGUUUGAUGGAAUUAACUGAAAAUAAUAUAAGCUUAUUAAGCCUUCAAACUAUUUCAAAAAAUCAAUUAAACUCCUUUGAACCUUUUGCACCCAACUGAAUCUCUAAAUUGACAAUUUUGACAAACAAGGCCCUUUGACCAACGUAAACCGUUAAAAACUAAUGGCAACAUUGACGUGAUUGUUGUUAGCCAACAAAUACUAACUUGGUAGUGACAAAUAAAAAAAAGUCAACAAAAUAUUUAAAAGUUAUUUUUACAAUAAGUAUACAAUGAACAUUGACAAAAGGAUGCCUAAGUUUAAGUUUAUUUGAAUCUGGAGGCACAUUUGUCAAGAUUCAUUCUAUAAUUAUAAAAAAUAAUAUAAAAAAUAAAAAAAUUAAUUUUCAUAAAGUUUUUUAUAAGUUAUUAAAAUUAAUUAAAACAUAUAAAAUUAAAAACCAAAUGAAUUUUAUAUAAAAUAUUUUUAUAAAUUUUAAUGAUUUUAAUGAUUUUAAAUAAAAUCUUUAUAAAAUUUCAAAUGGAUUUUAGUUAAAAGCUUUUUAUUCAACCAAAUGGAUUUUCUGCAACAUGUAUAUCCUGCAAGGAUCAACUGUGACCAGAGUAGCAAUGAUUUUCUUGUUGAUUACUCAUAAUACUCUAAAAUGACAUACUUUUUUGUGUUAAUUACAUAUAUAUAUUUUGAGUAUGGUCCUACUAAUUUGGGCUUUUUCUGGUUUUUAUCUUGUAGGGACUAAAUUGAAGGCAAACAGAAGUUUGGAGGCAAAAAGCAUGAAUUUAAAGAUAAAAUGGGUCAACAUGCUAAAUAAGGAAGAAAUGGUGCCAAAAAUACAAAGUGCAAAAGACUUGGGGCAAAAAUUCAGAGAAGAGAUUUAUGAACAGAAGACUCUAUUUAAAUUUGAAUUUUAUUUUUAGGAUUAUUUUUAGGAUUAUUAUGAUAUUAUUUAUAUUUAAUUUCCGAUUAUAUUUUUAUUUAUCUUUUAAGAGUUUAAAUAGGAACAAACUAGGUUUUCUAUAUAUUAUAAAUAGGGGAUGGAGUGAGAUGAAUAUCCACUCAUCAUUUUCUGUAAAAAAACUCUUUCUCCAUAAAGAUCUUAGUUGUAACGCCCUGAAUAAUUUAAAUCUAUUUUUGUGAAAUUUGACACAAAUAUGUAUCUCUUUUAGUGGUUAAAUGUUCUGGGUGAGUGUAUGAGGUUUUGGGUUCAAACCUCACAUUUGAAAAUUUUUGUUAUUUUUUCUGAUUCAAACCUUAUCCCUAUUGGGUGGGCUUAUAGUAUAUUAUUUGUAAACUUAUAUCAAAAUGAGUUUGCUGGUUCCAGUGGUAAGGAGUUAGCUUGUUGGAGGUCUUGCGUUUAAAUCCUCACGCGAGCAUGGAUGUUAAUUUUUGUCUUGAAUGUCUGAUAGAGUUUCGGUAGAGCUGAAAUUCUGAAUUGUUAGAAGGUUAGAGGGGAGAGGAAAUUUAUAGGAUAUGUUGUCAUAUUCUUUACCUUUUAUUUUUAUUUUUUUAUCUUUUUCUCUCACCUUUAAAAAUCCCCAAAUUUGACGUUUUCCCUUAAUGUUAAUUGGCACAAUCCCUUUUUCCCUUGACUUUUGAAUUCUGGACACGGCCAUGUGAUGGCGUGAGUGUGGCCGUGUGGGCCCACAUGGGUGUGUAGAUUUUGGGCCAGGCCGUGUGGACCACACGAGCAAGGCCAAUUUGGGCGUGUGGGCCCACACGCCAUGUGGGCCCAUAAUUUUAAAAUUUUCCCUAGGGUCGCACGAGUUGAAUAUUCAGUCAUUUCAAAAAAAAAGCAUUAAUUUUGUAUUUUAUUUUUCGUUUCUUUUAGUCAUUAAAUGUGGAUUAAUUAUUAAACCGCCCUUGCUUAAAUGCAAGAAAAUAUCAAUGUAAUGUUUCAAAAUGACAUGAAAAGAAAGAGAAAAGUCAAAUAUUCAGCCAUUUCAUAAAACAAAAGCAUUAAUUUUGUAUUUUAUUUUUCGUUUCUUUUAGUCAUUAAAUUUGGAUUAAUUAUUAAACCGCCAUUGCUUAAAUGCUAGAAAAUAUCAAUGUAAUGUUUCAAAAUGACAUGAAAAGAAAGAGAAAAGUCAAAUAUUCAGCCAUUUCAUAAAACAAAAGCAUUAAUUUUGUAUUUGAUUUUUCGUUUCUUUUAGUCAUUGAAUUUAGAUUAUUUUUUCUGAUUCAAACCUUAUCCCUACUGGGUGGGCUUAUGGUAUAUUAUUUGUAAACUUAUAUCAAAAUGAGAUGCUGGUUCGAGUGGUAAGGAGUUAGCUUGUUGGAGGUCUUGUGUUUAAAUCCUCAUGCUAGCAUGGAUGUUAAUUUUUGUCUUGAAUGUCUAAUAGAGUUUCGGUAGAGCUGAAAUUCUGAAUUGUUAGAAGGUUAGAAGGGAGAGGAAAUUUAUAGGAUAUAUUGUCAUAUUCUUUACCUUUUAUUUUUAUUCUUUUAUCUUUUUCUCUCACCUUUAAAAAUCCCUAAAUUUGACGUUUUCCCUUCAUGUUAAUUGGCACAAUCCCUUUUUCCCUUGCCUUUUGAAUUUUGGACACGGCCAUGUGAUGGCGUGAGUGUGGCCGUGUGGGCCCACAUGGGCUUGUAGAUUUUGGGCCAGGCCGUGUGGACCACACGAGCAAGGCCAAUUUGGGCGUGUGGGCCCAUAAUUUUAAAUUUUUCCCUAGGGUCGCACGAGUCAAAUAUUCAGUCAUUUCAAAAAAACAAAAGCAUUAAUUUUGUAUUUUAUUUUUCGUUUCUUUUAGUCAUUAAAUUUGGAUUAAUUAUUAAACCGCCCUUGCUUAAAUGGAAGAAAAUAUCAAUGUAAUGUUUCAAAAUGACAUGAAAAGAAAGAGAAAAGUCAAAUAUUCAGCCAUUUCAUAAAACAAAAGCAUUAAUUUUGUAUUUGAUUUUUCGUUUCUUUUAGUCAUUAAAUUUGGAUUAAUUAUUAAACCGCCAUUACUUAUAUGCUAGAAAAUAUCAAUGUAAUGUUUCAAAAUGGCAUUAAAAGAAAGAGAAAAGUCAAAUAUUCAGCCAUUUCAUAAAACAAAAGCAUUAAUUUUGUAUUUGAUUUUUGGUUUCUUUUAGUCAUUAAAUUUGGAUUAAUUAUUAAACCGCCCUUGCUUAAAUGCUUGAAAAUAUCAAUGUAAUGUUUCAAAAUGACAUGAAAAGAAAGAGAAAAGUCAUAUAUUCAGCCAUUUCAAAAAACAAAAGCAUUAAUUUUGUAUUUGAUUUUUCAUUUCUUUUAGUCAUUAAAUUUGGAUUAAUUAUUAAACCGCCCUUGCUUAAAUGCUGGAAAAUAUGAAUGAAUGUUUCAAAAUGACAUGAAAAGAAAGAGAAAAGUCAAAUAUUCAGCAAUUUCAAAAAACAAAAGCAUUAAUUUUGUAUUUGAUUUUUUGUUUCUUUUAGUCAUUAAAUUUGGAUUAAUUAUUAAACCGUCCUUGCUUAAAUGCUAGAAAAUAUCAAUGUAAUGUUUCAAAAUGACAUGAAAAGAAAGAGAAAAGUCAAAUAUUCAGUCAUUUAAAAAAACAUUAAUUUUGUAUUUGAUUUUUGGUUUCUUUUAGUCAUUAAAUUUAGAUUAAGUAUUAAAUCGCCCUUGCUUAAAUGCUAGAAAAUAUUAAUGUAAUGUUUCAAAAUGACAUGAAAAGAAAGAGAAAAGUCAAAUAUCAACGAUUUCAAAAAAAUAUAUAUUUUACUGUUGUAUUUGAUUUUUCGUUUCUUUUUUACAUUAAAUUUGCAUUGAUUAUCAAAUCACCUCAAAAUAGAUGAAAAAAUUAAGACUUGUUACCUUUGCUGAUGUGGCAUCUAUGUGGCAGUCCAUGUGUAUGCCACAUUAGCAAUUAAUUCAUUUUUGAACUUAAUUUUUUUGUCCAAAUUGUAUAGCGCUAUUGAAAUGAGUAUAUAUAACUUAUUUCAAAAUUCUUUUUCACUGUCCUGUAUCAUAUCGCAAAUAUGUGUCAGUCAUGCUACGUACACUGAAGUGUAUAACAAAGAAAUAGAAUGAAUCCCUUAAUAUGCUUAUACAUACUUGCAUCAAAUGGUACAUCAAAUUCUAUUAAAAGAAUGAACAAAGGACACAAAAUAUUUUAGGAACAAAUGAUGGUGAUUGCAUGAUUGUAUGGGUCCCAAAAUCAACCUGGUUGACCCAUCUCAUCCUCAUUUUACCAUAAACGUGUAUGAAUCUCAGCCAUCACAACACCAAGCAGAAGUCGAUAUAAGGUUCCGGUCCUUCCACCCCAACAACAUUGCCUCAUCUUUCUCUACCAAUGUGUAAUGUUUAGAGUAACACUUUAGCAGGCCUCGUAUCAUUGAAUUGAUGUAAAAGCUUACAGGGUAUGAUCGGAAUCCAGCCAUUGUUAGCCUAGACUUCCACUUACCAAAGAGCUCAUGGCGCUCAACCCUCUCAUUUCCCUCGCAAGCAAUGACGUUUAUGAUAUCCCUAGCCAGGCAGUGCUGCUCGACAUUAAUUUGUUCCCUUCAAUGUCUUGGCAUCGUCUCAUCUAUGGACUCGAACAUUGCCAACUAGUACUCCAAAGUCUUAAUGAACUUAGGGAGGAAAGAGGCUAUUUUCGUGUUUGAUUCUUGCUCAACCAAGGUGAUAACCUUGGGAGAAAGUGACCUUACCAUUCGCAGAAUCCCGUCCCUGAGAUUGUUCACAUCUACACUCUCAUCGGGGGUAUAAUGGAGCUGCAGUGGAAAUUUGACAGCAAGAGCCUUUCCAAGCUUGACAUCAAGCAUGUCCCUUGUGAUAUUUCCUACAAAAAUUGCAAUUCAAUGGAACUCAACUAGAAUACCAAACUACUCGGAUAGUGCCAUCAAACGUCUUUUGACAGUUUCUAAUCCACUACCACGGGCAUAUUUAGAAAUAGGAUCAUCAAUUCCUAUAAUCCGUACAUAAGAAGCUCAGUCUGGUCUGGCUGUAAGUGCUUGCAAGAGGGUCACCCACUUUGUUCCCUGAGCAAUCUGGAAAUCAAUAAUGUGGAUGCGAUCUUCAAUUCUACAUGCUUCAGCAAUGGCCCCAUUGGUAGCCAUGUAUCCAAAAUUAAGUACGGACAAAUUUUAUACAGGGUAUGCAUGUAUGUGAGCAAGUCAUUGCCUUCUGGCCCUUGCCAAUGAAGGGCUUGAUAUAUUUUUGGUGUUUUGAAUAAUAUGCUAGCAAGUUUUGUUGUGACUUGAGCAACAAGGCUCAAGACUUGUAGAUGAAACAAACAAAAUUCAAGAACAAAAUUAAAAGCAAAAGUAAAGAAAAGAUGGAGAGUAUGUGAUGAAUAAUUCUUCAAGGAAUUUUCAUUGAAAUGAGAAAUGGCAUACAUCCAAUACAAAUACUAGACAUUAGAUGGUCACCACAAACAAAUCAAUACCUAAACACUACCUAACUCCACUAAUUACAUUGUAACUUACAAAACCUUACUUGCACUCAUGAACAAGCUAAUUUUUCAUCUAACUAGCACAUAAAACAUCAAGUACAACUUGUUUUUGUUUUCAACUAAGCUACAAAAUAUUAUUCCUAAUUAACAAAAAUGAAACAGUAGCUCGAUCUGCUAGAACUUCACUUGCUCGGGUUGUUCCUGGUGCAACAAGGGCAGUAUGCUGGCCAACUUUAACUCUCCUCCUUGGCUCGCAUGCUGCAAACUCCCAAACUCAUUCUCAAGUGCUCAAACUUUGUUACACUAAAGGGCUCGGUCAAAAUUUUAGCCAGUUGAUCCUCUGAAUUGCAAUGAAACAAUUUUACUUCCUGUGCUUGCUCCAUUUCUCUGACAGGAUGAAGCUUAAUGUUGAAGUGCUUUGUCCUUCCACAGAACACUGGAUUCUUUACAAUUACAAUAGUAGAUUGGUUGUCACAAAAGAUCUUUAUUGCUUCCCUUUGGUGCACAUUUAAAUCUGCCAUAAUUUUCCUUAGCCAAAUGACUUGGUUGACAGCACUUGCAGCUGCUACAUACUCAGCUUCAGCAGUAGAUUGACCAACUAUUAUUUUCUUUUUCGAGCUCCAGCAAAACAUAGCUGAAUCGAGGGUGAAGACAUACCCUAAGGUUCUCUUCAUGUCAUCCAUCGAACCAACCCAGUCACUAUCAGUAUAACCAACCAAUUUUAAGCUUUCAACUUUGCUAUACAGCAUUCCAUAGCUCAGGGUACCCUUGAUAUACCUAAGCACCCUUUUUGCAGCUUGAAAAUGUUUUUCAUUGCAACAAUGCAUAAACCUUGAAAGCAAGCUUACUGUAAACAUGAUAUCUGGCGUAGUGGCAGUCAAGUAUAGCAAACAUCCAACUAGGCUCCUAUAAGUAGUUUCACCAAUCUACUAAAAAUCACCUUGGCUCGAUAGUUUUUCUCCCAUGGCAACUGGAGUGCUUGUUGCCUUGUUGUUUUGCAUUGAGAAUUUUGUCAAAAUUUUGGAGGCAAAGACUUUCUGACUUAGGAAUAUUUCACUCUGUGUUUGUGUCACCUCUAUGCCAAGAAAAUAUGUCAUCAUUCCUAGAUCAGACAUCUCAAAUAUUUGUUGCAUUUUGACUUUGAAAUCAUUCAGCAUUGUUUGGUUUCCUCCUGCCACCAACAGGUCAUCAACAUACAGGGAUACAAUGAGCUGAGUUUGUACCCUUUCCUUUUUGACAUAAGAUUUGGCUCAAUAAUGCUCCUUUCAAAUCCCAAACUAACCAAGUAGCUAUCGAUCCUGCUAUACCAGGCCCUUCGUACCUAUUUCAAGCCAUACAAGGCUUUCUUCAGUCUGUAAACCAUGUCUUUCUUACCAGCCACUUUGAAACCUUGAGGCUAUUUAACAUAGAUAUCUUCUUCAAGAAAUCCAUUGAGGAAGGCUGACUUCACAUCGAGCUAGUGAAUUUUCCACUGUAUUUGUGCUGCUAAGGCAACUAGCAACCUGAUGGUGUCGACUUUGCCCUUGGUGCAAAGGUCUCCAGAUAACCUGUGUCAUACUUCUAGCAAAAUCCCUUCACAACUAGCCUUGCUUUCAACUUGUUCAAACUUCCAUCAGCAUUAUGUUUGGCCAUUUCACUCUAAUGGUCUUUCUGUUGGUUGGUCUUUCAACUAGUUCCCAAGUCUGAUUCUUUUCAAUCAUUUUGAUUUCAUUAGCCAUUACCUAUUUCCAGCCUUACUGAAGUUCAGCCUUUUCAAAACAGCUUGGUUUCACUAUGGCUACUUGAGCUUUUUCAUAAAUCUCAGCCAAUGGUCUACUACUCCUGACUGGUUCAUUAUCAAUGUCAAUUUCAGGACCAUUCUAAUCAGAUUCAUUCUGAUCUAUUACAAGGUCUUUAGAAACAGCCUCUGGCGCAUUCUUUUUCCAGUUCCAGCUAGACAUCUCAUCGAAUACCAUAUCUCUACUCACCAGCACCUUGUUUGCUAAAGUAUCCAAGAUCUUAUAUCCCUUUUUGAUAGUGUUGUAGCCCACCAGUAUGCCAGAUUGAGCCCUUUUUGACAGUUUGUCCCUUUUCACAACUGGGAUAUGUGCAUAGCAUAUGCAGCCAAAGAUCCUCAAGUAAGCCAGUGAUGGUUUAAACCCAAACCAGGCCUCAAAUAGAGUUUUGUGAGCCAAAGCCUUGGUUGGGAGCCUGUUUUGGAUGUAGAAAACAGUGUUAACUACCUCAACCCACAAGGUUUUGGGCGAAUUCUUCUUAAACAUCAAACACCUGGCCAUAUUCAUCAAACUUCUAUUUUUUCUUUCACUAGCACCAUUAUGUUGAGGAGUAUAGGUGUUGGUGAGCUAGUGUUUGAUGCUUGCUUCAUCACAAAAAGCUUGAAUUUGAGCUAAGGUGUACUCAGUUCCAUUAUCAGACCUUAAAGUCUUAAGCUUGUAGCCUGUUUUAGUAUCUAUAGUAGCCUUGAACUUCUAGAACACAGAGGCCACCUCUGAUUUAUGCUUCAAAAAAUAAAUCCAGCAAAAUCUUGAGUGAUCAUCAAUGAACAGAAUGAAAUACCUGUUUCCAUUCAAAGACUGAGUAUUUAUGGGGCCAUACGCAUCAGUGUGCACAAGCUGCAGCCUUUCUAAGGCUCUAUAGGCUUUGUUUGAAGGAAAUGAGAGACUGGCCUGCUUUCCCAAUUGACAUACUUCACAGACCCUCUUUUUCAACUGAGUUGAUGAAGUUCUCAACCAGAUCUUCUUUAGUUAACUGGUUCAUCGACCUGUAGUAGGCAUGACCAAGCCUUUGGUGCCAAAGCUUAGAUUCAUCUAAUGAGGCUAUGUAGGCUGAUUUUGAGCCAUUUGUCCAGUCAACUACGAAACUCUUAUCAGCCAUAGUGACUGACAUGAGCCUGGAUCCACUUGGAUCACUAAUUUGACACUCAUCUCCUUUGAACACAAUAGAAUAGCCUUUCUGCAGAAGCUGAGCUAUGCUAAGCAAAUUUCUGUCAAUCUCAUGCAUCAACAACAUAUUUGAAACAAGCUUGCUACCUGUGGAAGUGAUUAUCAGCACAUCCCCUCUGCCUUCAGCCUUAAUCAAGUGGCCAUUACCAACUUUCACCUUUAUUUUGAAGCUUCUGUCAAUUGACUUGAAAAUGGCAGCAUCUGGUGUCAUAUGGUUGGUGCAACCACUGUCAAUGAGCCAUCCCUUUGUGGCCUUUUUUUAGUGGAUGGGCAUGAAACUACAAAAAAUUACUCUUCAUGAUCACUGCCCUCUUUUGAUACUCGAGCUCCAGUAUUUGGUUGUUGUGGUUGAUACUGCAUUAGUUUGCCUUUCCUUCUGCAAACCUUUUCAACAUGGCCCAUCUUUUUACAGUGUUGACACUGCACAUCUGGUCUAAACCAACAAUUGGCUUCUGGAUGACCAGGUCUUUUGCAAUACCUGUAAGGUUGAUCCCUUCUUCUUGUAGCAUCUAACUUAGGCUUGUCUCUCCAAGUCUUUUUGCCUUUGUAGGUAGAGGUGCUCGAGGCAGGCUUAGUUUUUGCUUGGAAGGCACCUUCUUAGUGCUUCUCAAGCCUACUAGCUCUUAUUUGCUCUUAUGCAUAAAGAGCAUUGAUCAGCUCUAUCAAUGAGAUGCUAGUCAGGUCCCUUGAGUCUUCGAGGGAUGAAUUUUUUGCCUCAUCCUCUCAGGUAAAGUUGAGAUUACCUUCCCACUAUUCUAGCUUUACUGAACUGCUCUCCUAGGAGCUUUAUGUUGUUUACCACAGCCAUAAUCCUGUCUGAAUACUACUUGAUUGUUUCUUCCUCCUUCAUCUUCAAGUUCUCGAAAUCUCUUCUCAGAUUUAAAAGCUGUUGCUACCUUGUUCUUUCAGUUCCUUGGAACUCUUCUUUUAGUUUGUCCCAGGCUUGCUUUGGUGUCUCAUAGGCCAUGAUUCUUGUAAAGAUCACAUCUGACAUACAGUUUUGGAUGCAAGAUAUGGCCUUGUGCCUCUUAGUCCUUUCAUCAGCAUGAUGUCUGAUCUGAGCCACAGUUGGAUUGGCUCGAAGUGGUGCUGGUUCAACAUCUGAGUUGACCACUUCCCAUAGAUCGAAUGCCUACAAAUAGGUUUUCAUUUUGACCACCCAUUUGUGAUAGUCCUCUCCAUUGAAGACUGGUAGUACAGCUGGUGAAAAGCCUGGUGAAGCCAUCGUUUUAAAAUGUUGAGCUAUAACAGGUCCACUGAGAUUAUGGCUCUAGAUUCCAAUUGUUGGUGUUUUGAACAAUAUGCUAGCAAGUUUUGUUGUGACUUGAGCAACAAGGCACUAGACUUACAGAAGAAACAAACAUAAUUCAAGAACAAAAUUAAAAGCAAAAGUAAAGAAAAGAUAGAGAGUAUGUGAUGAAUAAUUCUUUAAGGAAUUUUCAUUGAAAUGAGCAAUGGCAUAAAGACAAUACAAAUACCAGACAUGAUCUGGUCACCACAAACAAAUCAAUACCUAAAACACUACCUAACUCCACUAAUUACAUUGUAACUUGCAAAACCUUACUUGCACUCAUGAACAAGCUAAUUUUUCAUCUAAUAAGCACCUAAAACAACAAGUACAACUUGUUUUGUUUUCAACUAAGCUAUAAAACAUUAAUUCAAAAUUAACAAAAUGAAACAGUAGCUCGAUCUGCUGGAAUUUCACCUGCUCGGGUUGUUCCUAGUGCAACAGGGGCAGUAAGCUGGCCAACUUCAACAUAUAUGUUAGAUCCCGAUGCCUCUACCUUUCCACCAUGUAAGCAUCGAGACGCUGGAUUGGUUCUCUAUAGAUAGACACAGUAACCCCGGCCUUUGCAAUCAACAUAUUGAAUUUAUCGAUAUUAUUUUCAAAGAGAGUUUUAGUACAUGCAAUCAACAACUGCUUUAGAUUCCCCGAUGGAAUCCUCUGUAAAGAUAAAUCCUCUAUUGCAGUCAGACGUUUCUCUACAUGAGCAACUUAAGUUGAUUGCCUAUAGUUAGUAACAAAGGUUUUUCGAGGUUGACACAUGGAAUAUCCUUGGCAGUCCUUACUAGAUGCCCUGUAUCACUGGCCAUUUUUCUGCGGUGUAUUGGUUACUUCAUUGGCCCCAUCAUGUGCCCUUUGACCAAUGUAAACCGUUAAAAACUAAUGGUAACAUUGACGUGAUUGUUGUCAGCCAACAAAUACUAACUUGGUAGUGACAAAUAAAAAAAAAGUCAACAAAAUAUUUAAAAGUUAUUUUUACAAUAAGUAUACAAUGAACCUUGACAAAAGGAUGUCUAAGUUUAAGUUUAUUUGAAUCUGGAGGCACAUUUGUCAAGAUUUAUUCUAUAAUUAUAAAAAAUAAUAUAAAAAAUUAAAAAUUAAUUUUCAUAAAGUUUUUUAUAAAUUACUAAAAUUAUUAAAACAUAUAAAAUAAAAAACCAAAUGAAUUUUAUAUAAAAUAUUUUUUUAUCAAUUUUAAUGAUUUUAAUUGUUUUAAAUAAAAACUUUAUAAAAUUUAAAAUGGAUUUUAGUUAAAAGGUUUUUAUUCAACCAAAUGGAUUUUCUGCAACAAGUAUAUCUUGCAAGGAUCAACUGUGACCAGGGUAGCCACGAUUUCCUUGUCGAUUACUGAUAAUACUCUAAAAUGGCAUACUUUUAUGUGUUAAUUGCAUAUAUAUUUUGAGUAUGGUUCUACUAAUUUGGGUUUUUUUUAUGGUUUUUAUCUUGUAGGGACUAAAUUGAAGGCAAACAUAAGUUUGGGUGCAAAAAACAUGAAUUUGAAGACAAAAUGGGUCAACAUGCAAAAUAAGGAAGAAAUGGUGUAAAAAAGACAAAGUGCAAAAGACUUGGUGUAAAAAUUCAGAGAAGAGAUUUAUGAACAGAAGACUCUAUUUAAAUUCGAAUUUUAUUUUUAGGAUUAUUAUGAUAUUAUUUAGAUUUAAUUUUAGAUUAUAUUUUUCUUUAUCUUUAAAGAGUUUAAAUUGGAAUAAACUAGAUUUUCUAUAUAUUAGAAAUAGGGGAUAGAGUGACGUAAAUAUUCAUUCAUCAUUUUCUAUAAAAAAAACUCCUUCUCCCUAAAGAUAUUAGCUGUAACACCCUGAAAAAUUUAAAUCUAUUUUUGUGAAAUUUGAGACAAAUAUGUAUCUGCUUCAGUGGUUAAAUGUUUUGGGUGUGUGUAUAAGGUUUUUGGUUCAAGUCCCACAUUUGAAAAUUUUUGUUAUUUUUUUAUUCAAAUCUUAUCCCUGUUGGGUGGGCUUAUAGUAUAUUAUUUGUAAACUCAUAUUAGAAUGAGUUUGUUGGUUCGAGUAGUAAGGAGUUAGCUUGUUGGAGGUCUUGUGUUCGAAUCCUUGCGCGAGCGUGGAUGUUAAUUUUUUUCUUGAGUGUCUAAUAGAGUUUCGAUAGAGCUGAAAUUCUGAAUGGUUAGUGGGUUAGAGGGGAGAGGAAGUUUAGGGAUAUGUUCUCAUAUUCUUUAACUUUUAUUUUUACUUUGUUAUCUUUUUCUCUCACCUCUAAAAAUCCCCAAAUUUGACGUUUUCCCUUCCUGUUAAUUUGCACAGUUUUUUCCCUUGCCUUUUGAAUUAUGUCGUAAUCUUAUUGGCUAAUCUUGGUAUUUUGAUUCUUCGGUACUGUGGUGUGGCUAGGUAAGUGUAAGGGGUUUAUUUUCGUGUAAGUUAGGGAAUCGUUUCGAUCCUUUUCUUUUCAGUAAUGUGGUUUUGCACUGUUGGUAGCAAAUCAGGAAGAACGAAUUUCUCCUUUUAUGGAAUCAUAGUCGACUUUGUUCGAGAAGUUGGGUAAGUAUCGAACACUUGAAUGUCUUCGUUGUUAAUUUUCAUUGGCUCAGUUUAAUUGAGGAUUAAUAUUGAUUUUGGGAAUGAUUAUGUCAAUUUUAGGUUUUGGUGGUCUUGGGAGUGUUUUCACAUCAAAACUGAACCAGGUGUGUACUCCUAACGCGAAAAAUUGAGCAUCAGCAAAAGUCAAAACAGCAUUCUAUCGAUGCCACACGGGCGUGUGCCUGGCUGUGUGGUUGGCCAUGUGCUUGAUACGGGUAUGUGUUUAACGAAGGCAUGGUCGUGCGUAGGACACGGCCAUGUGAUGGUGUAAGUGUGACCGUGUGAUGGUGUGGGUGUGGCCGUGAGGGCCCACACAGGCGUGUAGAUUUUGAGCUAGGCCAUGUGGGCCACAUGAGCAAGGCUAAUUUGGGCAUGUGGGCCCAUAAUUCUAAAAUUUUCCCUAGGGUCGCACGGGUCAUUUUGAUCGACUGUGGGCCUACCAUAGAGUCGGUAAGGGCUAACCAAACCCUAAAUUAUAUGAUCUAAUAUUCUAAUAGUCUGUUCUAAGUAGGAUACUGAUAUGUAUAUUUGACUGUUCUAUUUAAGUAUAUAUGUUAUCUGUAUAUGAGCAUGUUAUACAUAAUGUUACUGUAUCUGUAUUUUGUAUCAUUGAUUGGGGUGGGAAUUGUAUAUGCAGAGGAAGUGAUCUGUAUAUCGAAUCUUCGCCUAUAUUCUGGUAGGUUGUUUGCAUAUUAUCUAUCUAUCAUGUGUUGCAUCGACGCUAUAUGCUGUGUAGGGAUCAGUGGGUGUUUUUAACCCCACAUGGUGUGAUGGGAUGCUCAGAGAUGGUGUGUAAAGGAUGGGGGUAGGAUUCUGGAUAUCUGCAUCUAUUAUGGACCUAAGUCCAAAUCUGUAGCUAUCUGUAUAUGAAAUUUCUAUGUAUAUUGUCUGCUUCUGUUGGGUUACACAUUGAGUUUACGAAAACACAUAUACGUUUUCUUGUUCUGUACAGGUAAUCCACAGACUUAGAUGGAUCAGUGCGACGGAGUCUCAUGGUGACCACAAGGGUGUGAAUUGACUUUAAAUAAUGGUUUUUAUUUAAUUAAAAAUUAUUUUUGGGAGUUUUGCAUUUAUUAGACUCUCCGGACUGUUUGGUUUUUAUUUGGUUUUGGAUGUAUUUUGAAUCUUUUAUUGGGACAUUUGACUAGAUUCACGGUUUUACAAAAAGAAAUGUUUUUUUUUUGAAAAUGCAAGUUGGAUUUUCAAAAUAUAACAGUUUUUAAGACUUCCACUGUAAAUUAUGUUUUGGCAAAUGAAUUAAUUAAAUAACGUUUUCAGUAAAAUUUAUAUCAACGAAAAUAGGUUAUAAAACUUGGAUAAUUUAUCGAACAACUCUACAAAGUUUUAUUGAAGUAACACUGAUUUCAAAACCCUUUUUUGUAACACUCCUGAAUUCAGCCAUAACGUCUAGGCCGGGUUAGGGGAGUUACAUUUAGUGGUAUCAAAGCCAAGUUGCAAAACUCGGGCUAUAAAUUUUGAGUUUUUAAUUGUGUUUUGAAAAAGAACUGGUUUUUAAAUAACUUGAAUCAUUUUUAGCAAAUGUGUGCUACACCGAGUCUUGGGCACUGAUCUUGUAAGUAUUUCUGAACUUAGAUAGAACUUUUUGAAAACACUGUAGUUCGUACUUUCUAAAACUAUACUAAGUUAGUUAGAGACUAAAACAUCUAAAAUACUUUUGGAACUUCUGAAAACUUGAGCGUAAAAUAUAUGUUAAUAAACACUGGAACUGAUUCAAAAAAAUUUAUAAUGUAGAUACAUUUGAAAAUACGAUGAGCGCUCGUGGUAUUCGUGGGCGCGGAGGGUGCCUUAGGGGGCUUUAACUGAGUAUUCUUUUCUAGGCAGUAUGCCAAAAUUAGACACGAGUGAGACACCGGUUUCACCUGCUAUUGAGACUGGGUCUCAAAGACGCUUGGUUGGGGACGACGAAUUGUCUCAAGCCAUGUUGAGAGUGUUAGAGUAGGUCGCUAGACCCUAUUCUAGAUUUGGGGACUGUGGGUUGAUAACUGAACAACUAUAGUCCAAUAGAGCUGAGUUGUUUAGAGAUGUCACUGGAGUCACCCCUACUAUGGCCGAGUAUUAGUUGGAAGCCAUUGAGAGGAUUAUGAAUGACAUCGACUACACUCCUGAACAGAAAUUAAAGGGUGCAUUUUUUACUUUGCGAUGAGGCAUAUCAGUGGUGGUUGUCAGUUGAGGAGGGUACUCAACCUGAUUGUAUGAACUAGGAUUACUUUAAGGCUGCCUUUCAAGGAAAAUAUGUGGGGGCAAGUUAUGUUGAGGCUCGUAUGUGUUAGUUCAUGAAUCUCAAACAAGGUGAUAAAUCUAUGGCCUAGUAUGAAGCCGAGUUUCUAAGAUUAAGCCGCUACGCUCGAGGCAUGGUAGCAUCUGAGUAUGAGAAAUGUGUCCGUUUUGAUGACGGCUUGAGGGAUAGUCUAAAGGUAUUGAUUGCUCCAUAGAGGGAGUGAGAGUUUGAAGUUCUUGUGGAUAAGACAAAGAUUGCUGAGGAGGUUAAGCGCGUGGAGUGCCAGAAUAGAGAUCGAGAUAGAGGCAAGAAUAAGAGGGAUUCAGAGCCCUCUAGUUCUGUUCAGAGGCCUAAGAAACGGGUAAGACCUAAUGGGCCUAUUAGAGUGGGGGUUCCUGUUACUCUUACUGGGAUUCAGCCUUGUGGUGAUUGCGGUAGGUGCCAUCCGGGUGAGUGUUGGAGGAGAUUAGGGGCUUGCCUAUGGUGUGGGUCACUAAAGGACUGGAUUAGAGAGUAUCUAUAUUGUGCGGAUCAAAUGCAAGCUUUAGGACCGAGUUCUGUUCAUCCUUAGAGGGCAGUAUAGCAGCCAUCUAGGGGUCGUGGACCGACUAAGGGUGGUAAUAGUUUGGGUCGAGGACAGAGAGCACCAGGCAGAGGUGCUAAUCAGACUGAGGUGUGGGAACCUGCAUUAAUUUAUGUUGCCAUAUUCUUUAGCUUUUAUUUUUAUUUUGUUAUCUUUUUCUCUCACCUCCAAAAAUCCCCAAAUUUGACAUUUUCCCUUCCUGUUAAUUGGAAAAAUCCCGUUUUCCCUUGCCUUCUAAAUUAUGUCGCAAUCUUGUCGGCCAAUCUUGGUAUUUUGAUUCUUCGGUAUUGUAGUGCAACUAGGUAAGUGUAAGGGGUGGAUUUUCGUGUAGGUUAGGGAAUCGUUUUUCUUUUUCACUCUUUAACUGUUCUAAACUAUUUCAAUCCUUUUCUUUUCGGUAAUGUGGUUUUAAGUUGUUGGCAGCAAAUCAAGAGAAACGAAUUUCUUCUCUUACAAAAUCAUAGUCAGCUUUGUUCGAAAAGUUGGGUAAGUAUCGAACACUUGAAUGUCUUCGUUGUCAAUUUUAAUUGGCUCGGUUUAAUUGAGGAUUAAUAUUGAUUUUGGGAAUGGUUAUGUCAGUUUUGGGUUCUGGUGGUCUCAUGAGUGUUUUUGCAUCAAAACCGAACCAGGUGUGUACUCCUAACAUGAAAAACUGAGUAUCGGUGAAAGCCAAAAAAGUAUUCUGUCGACACCACAUAGGCAUGUGCCUGGCCAUGUAGUUGGCUGUAUGCAAUCAUGGCCAUGUGUUUGACGAAGGCAUGGUUGUGCGAAGGACAAAACCCUGUGAUAGUGUGAGUGUGGCCAUAUGGGCCACACGGGCUAGGCCAGAUUGGGCAUGUGGGCCACACAGGCGUGUGGGUUUUGGGCUAGGCCAUGUGGACUACACAAGCAAGGCCAAUUUGGGCAUGUAGGCCUACAUGGGCAUGUGGGUCCAUAUUUUUGAAAUUUUCCCUAGGGCCGCACGAGUCGUUCAGUUCAAUUGGAGGGCUACCUAGGGUCGGUAAGGGCUAACCAAACCCUAAAUAUGUAAUCUGAUAUUCUAAUAGUCUGCUCUGAGUAGAACACCGAUAUGUAUAUCUGACUGUUCUGUUUAAGUAUAUAUGUUAUCUGUAUAUGAGCAUGUUAUGCAUGAUGUUACUGUAUCUAUAUUUUGUAGUGUUAAUUGGGGUUGGAAUUGUAUAUGCGAAGGAAGUGAUCUAUAUGGCGGCUCUUCGCCAAUAUUCUGGCAGCUUGUCUGCAUAUUAUCUGUCAUGUGCCGCAUCGACACUAUAUGGUGUGUAGGGAUUGUCGAAACCAUUUUUUUGAAAUCGAUUUUUGGUUUAAAAAAUAAAAAAUGGGAGUCGCCACCAAUCAUUUUUCUUGAGGUGUGAUCGGAUCACCUCGUAAAUUUAUCAUUUUUAAUAAGUGGCUUGAUUUACUAAUUUAACGAUUUUGGUCUACAAAAUUCAAGAAGUGGGUUCGGGAGUCGGUUACGUACGAAGAAGGAUUAGUGCCCUCGUAACGCCCAAAAUUGAUACCUAAUUGAUUGAUUAAUGUAUUAAUGUCAAAAGUUGAAAACUCGAAAAGAAUUUAAAAAAUGAUCCCUCUUUACGUUAAUGUAUAUAUUUUUUAGUAAAAUCCCAUAAAUAGAUCAAAACAUAUGUAAAAGGCUUUCUUAUCUUGAGGUAACAAAAGGUCGCAUCUCGUAAGUUAGGACACGACAUCUCGAAUUCUUGAAAAUAAGCUUGCCUUUUAUUUUUUUAUAUUAAAUCUCACGUAUUUUAAUUUUAAAAGGAUAUUUGGUCAUUUAGAUUCAAUGAGAAAAUCAAAAACCCCAUCAGUUAGGGCACAACUCAUCGAAUCUCCAAAUAUGAAAUAUUGCCUAUUUUUAAAACUUCCCCUUUUUUAUAAUAACAUAUGUAAAAUUUAAAACGAAGGGUAUUUAUCUUAUUUGGGGGUAUAGUAUAAAAUCAACUAUGGGUAAAUAUAUUUAAACGUGAUUCAUGACAUGAUUUUCAUGAAAUAAGAUAAAAUGGUAAUGUAGAAAAUAGAACGAUGAUAUACAAAUAAAAUGUCGCGCUAAUAAAUGACAAUAAUAUGAAUAUACUAAUAAAACAAUUCAUAAUACAUAUAAUGGCGAUAAUCACAUAAUAUAUACUACUUUAAUACUAAUAUGAACAAUCAAAGGAAAAAAAUAAAUAAUAACAAUGAUAAUAAUAAUAAUAAUAGUGACAAAAUAUGCACAUAAAAAAGAUACCAAUUUUAAUAUAAUAAGGACAAGGAAAUAAAUAAAUAAAAACAUAAAUAAAUAAAUAUGGAGGAAAAUAGUUUUAAAAAUAUUGAAAAUAAAAGACCAAAUUAAAACGUAAUUGAAAUUAAGGGUGCAAUUUGUAAUAAAAUACAUAAAUAAAUAAUAAAUAAUAAUAGUGAGAAAAAAGGAAAAAACACAAAAAAAUAGAUAAAUAAAUAAAUACAAAGGAAAAUAAAAUAUAAAAGAUCGAAAGUAAGGACUAAAUCAGGAUCUAAACAAAAUUUAAAGUAAAAAUCAUAAUAAAAUAGACAAAUUAAACAAUAAAAUAAGGUAAGGAAUUAAAAUCAAAUGCACGAAGGAAAGACAGGGAUCAAUUAGGCAAUAAUCCCCUUAUCCCUUAAACGCAAUGUUCCCUAGAGACUAAAUAGUUAGAGGACGAAAAUAAAAAAAAUAACAAAAUCAAAUGGGUAAAUUAAAAAAAAGAAAAAAAGCUAAAAUAAGGACCAGAUUGAAAAAGAGCCCAAAAGUGGAAGGACUGACAAGGUAAAUAGACCCUUAGUCCAAAAACACGCGGAUCCUAACGGGCCUUGGGUCAGAUCUCGGGUCAAAAACCAAAACAACACCGUUUUGGGGCUAUUGGAAUCAGCCCUAAAAUGAUGUCGUUUUACAAGGCCUAUAAAAGCUAAAAAAAAAUUAAAAAUUUCAUUCUGCACCGUUUCUUAAAAAAUUUUGAGAGCUCUCUUCGCUCUUUGGUCCCUUCUGAGCUCCAGCCAUCGGCGACAGCGCCGCUAUCCACAGUGGCCAAAAAGUCCAAAAGCUCCGUUUUCGACCCCUUUUUGAAGGAAAAGCCUUCUCUUCUCAAAAAAGUCUAAAAAUAACAAAAAAACCUUCGAUUCUUCUAUGACCGUAGCGUCAUCCAUUCCAACGGACCCUAAACCAAACCCUAAUGGGUUCUGGGCUUUCGACGCCAGGGAGAACCUUCGAUGACGGAGGGAGACGAAGUAUCCCAGGUAAGUCUUUUUUUAUUUUAUUUUAUAGAUAUAUAAAAAAUAAAAGAUUUAAAAGAUUAAAAGCAUAAAAAAUGUCACCUUUUUUUUUAAUCUAUAUGCGAUUACUACAUUUUUUGUAUUCGAUUUUUCUCUGUAAAUAAUAAAAGCUAUUUUCGGGGCUUUUUAUAGCUAAAUAGUUACAUUUGAUUUUAUUUACUACUGUUUAUGCUUUCGUUUCUGCUAUUGUUUCUCUACUCUGUUUUUGCUUUCUUUUCUGUCUUUUUUGUAGGCAUUGGCAAGGUCAACGGAGUUGUGCCUUGCCAUUCUAGUGCAAGGGAGGCAGACCUCGAGUGGUAGGCAUGCUGACACGGCACGUGGAGCGACGGAGCGGCUGGAUUAGGGUUUAGAUUCUGAAAUUUUUGUUUAUGCUGUGGGGUAGGUUUUUUUUAUUUUGGGCUUCUUUUUUUUGUUGUCUUUAGGCUUGUAAAAUUGGACUAGACUUGUUAAUUAUUUUUAUUUUUAUUUUGUUUGUUUUGGUUUUUUGGUUGCGCCCGGGCAAAUUUGGGCAUUUACAAGGACGGGUGGGUGUUUUUAACUCCACAUAGUGUGAUAGGAUGGUCGGAGAUGGUGUGUAAAGGGUAGGGGUAGGAUUCUAGAUAUCUGCUCAGUUUAUCUGAUUCCGUUAUCUACAUCUGCUAUGGACUUAAGCUCGAAUCUGUAUCUGCUCGUAUAUGAGAUUUCUGUGUACAUUGCAUGUCUACUUCUGUUGGGUUACACACUGAGUUUACGAAAACCAACAUAUGUUUGUUUGUUAUGUAUAGAUAACCCACAAACUUAGACGGAUCAAUGCGAUGGAGUCUCAAAGUGACCAUAAGGGUGUGAACUGACUUUAAAAAAUGGUUUUUAUUUAAUUAAGGAUUAUUUCUGGGAGUUUUGUAAUUAUUGGACUCUCCGAAUUGCUUGAUUUUUAUUUGGUUUUGGAUGUGUUUUGACUUUUUUAUUGCGAUGUUUGAUUAGAUUCAUGGUUUUGCAGAAACAAAUGUUUUUUUUGAAAAUACGAGCUGGAUUUCAAAAAUAUAACGGUUUUUAAUACUCCCGCUAUAAAUUAUGUUUUGGCAAAUGAAUUAAUUAAAUAAUGUAUUCAAUAAAAGUUAUAUAAACGAAAGUGGGUUAUAAAACUUGGAUGAUUUAUCAAACAACUAUACAAAGUUUUAUCGAAGUAACACUGAUUUCAAAACCCUUUUUUGUAACACUCCCGGAUUCGGCCAUAACGUCUAGGCCGGGUUGGGGUGUUACAUUAGCUUUUUGUUCCUUUUAUUUUUCAAUAAAAUUUCAUUCCAUUAAAAUUAUUUCUUUUUUCCCAAAAAGUGUGAGCCACUAAACUCAUCUAGCCAAAGGUUAUCAAGACUCCUCCAAAAGAGUUCAUGAGGCUUAGAAUCCGCAUUUAGCCUUCUCAACGAGUAUUCAUCAUUUCUUCGCAUUAUGGGACUAACGCUUCCGUCUAUGUCCUUCCAAAAGUAAUCUUUUCAUCUUGAGCAAGGAACGACCAUUUUGUAUGUUUUAGGAAGGUUGCACAGUCAAUUCGUUCAAUUUUUGCGUCAAAAGUUAUCGAGCCCAAAAGACAAAAUGGCUUGGCAUUCGCCAUUGAGAAAUGAUGAUCUAGUGUAAGACGGUCCCGCAAAAGUGACGGUUGGCUAGAGUCAGGUUCCUCUAGAUUGUAAGGUUAUAACCUAAGUAGAGCUAGUGGUCGUAGGUGUCCUCUACCACUAUAACUGACUUAUUCGGUCAUGAGAAGGAUCACCUAAAAGCCAAUAAUUGAACCAAAAGAGGAUCGAGAUAACCGAAGGCUGGAAUCCCUCAAAUCAAAGAAUCCUUUUCCUUAAUUUUGUUUCUUUUUACAAUUUCAAUUCAAAUUUAUACAAUUUCAACUCGUCUAUAUUUUUAAUUCUAUUUUUUAUUUUUCCCAGGUACGCCGUUUUUCUUGGGCACGACUGUGCCCAGGAUUUCGAGGAACAAGAAGUUGUAGCAAUCCAAUCCCUCAGGAUUUGACCCUACUUCCCUUAUACUGUUAUCUUCGUUAUUUCAUAGGGAUGGGUUAUUUUUUGUACUUUCAAUGACACACCAAAUUUUUGUGCUCUAGGAAUUCUUGCAUUCAAUUCAGAAAUAGAAAAAACUAUGAGAGCUAAUCGCAAGGAUACGAAGCUAUGAAAAGAGCAGUCAGAGGUGGUAGAAACUCAGAGUAACCCACCGCCAGAAAUAGAAGCAAGCGACAACGUUGAGUCUAGAGUUAACAAAAACCCUACUCAAACACUAGAGAAUGAAAGAAUAGGAGUCGAUCCACCAGAAGAAGUGUCUAACGUAAACAUGAAUCUAGAACAACAACUUAUGGCUCAAACGAUUCGGCAAAUGGCCGAAACUCCUACAGAACAACAAUCGUUAUGCAUUGCGUAUCCUACUACGGAUAUUAACUUUGAACUGAAGUCAAGAUUAAUUGAGUUACUGCCAACCUUUCAUGGAUUGGAAAAUAAAAAUCCACACAAACAUCUAAAAAAAUUUUAUAUGCUUUGUCUUAGUAUGAAACCUCAGGGCGUAACUGAGGAUAAAAUCAAAUUACGUGCUUUCCCUUUUUCCCUAGCUGGUUCUGCUAAGGAAUGGUUAUUUUAUCUACCUCCUGGAUCUAUCACUACUUGGACUGGUCUUUCCCGUUUGUUUCUCAACAGAUUUUUCCCAGCCUCGCGUGCAGCUGAGUUAAAGAGGGAGAUUGUUGGGUUAAGCCAAAGAGAUGUAGAGUCUCUUUACGACUAUUAAGAGAGAUUUAAGAAGUUGUGUGCGAGUUACCCACAACAUGGGAUAACAGCACAGUCUCUGCUCCAAUACUUCUAGGAGAGCUUGAAGCCCACAAAAAUGAAUAUGAUAUAUGCCGCUAGUGGAAGAGCAUUAGUUAACAUGACCCAUCAGUAGGCAAGGGACUUGAUCUCCAUGAUGGCUACAAAUACACAACAAUUUCGAGCCAAUCCUGAAUAGUCUUACUGAUAUCAUGGAUUCUUUUUUUGUAGUAAAAAUAAGACCGACCCGACUAUGUAGAAUUUGUGCAACACCCGAACAUAAAAUAGACGCAUGCCCUAGUUUGUGUGACGAUAUUAUGGCUCAUUUGGAUGUUGUGGGGAAAUUUCUUAGACCACCCCAAAAGUGAUAUGACCUUUAUGCUAACCCAUGGUAUAACUAUGCAUAUCAAAAUCGGUUUCUACAACAAACGCGAGAUUCAAGUACCGCUCUAGAAACCAUGGAAAAUAAAUUAACAACUAACAUGCUUGAUUUUCAACAGAAAAUUGAGGCACCUAUAAGAGAGUUGACCACAUCAAUUGAGAAAAUGAACUCACAUGGAAAGUUCACAUGGAAAAUGAACAGGUUCGAACGAAACCUCCAUUGCCCAAAAUUCAACCCCUAUUCCCAAGAUGAUUGAACCAAACCAAAAAGCUAAAGAGGACAAAGAGAUCCUCGAAACAUUCAAAAACAUUGAGAAUAACAUAUCGUUUUUGAAUACCAUCAAAUAAAUUUUGUGAUAUGCUAGUUCCUUAAGGAGCUUUGCACCAGAAGCAAAAAUUAACUGGAAAUGGAAGAGUAAGUGUUGGUGAAAAUGUAUCUGUAGUAUUGCAGCAUAGGAUGCUAGUAAAGUGUAAAGAUAGGGGCAUGUUUGCAAUACCAUUCAAAAUAGGUUGCUUAGGAAUCAAAAAGGCUAGGUGUGAUUCAGGGCCCUCCAUAAAUGUAAUGCCUUUUUCCAUUUAUGAAUCACUUAAUGUGGGCUUUUAUAAAAAUAGGUGUUAUCAUUCAAUUGGCAAACAGGUCUAUUGUGCAUCCGAAAAGAGUUCUUGAGGAUGUAUUAAUGAAAGUCAACGGACUUAUGUUUCCCGCAAACUUUUAUGUAGUGAAAAUGGGAGAUGAUAACACUCUUGGGUCUUCGGACAUCUUGCUGGGGCAACCUUUCCUUAGUACCGCUAGCAAUAAUAUUGACGUGCAUAGCGGAACCCUCAUGAUGGAAUUUGACAAGGAGAUCGUGAAGUUUAACAUUUACGACGCUAUUAGUCACCCAAGUGAAAUCUUGAACGUAAAUCAUGUCGACCUAAUUCACUCAAUAGUUUGGAGAAACUUUUGAGUCACCUUAUGAAGUUAAACUUGAAAAGUUGUUUGAUGAUUUUGAUUCAGGAUUUAUUUGUGAAUCUAUUAGUGAAUUGUUGUCUCCUAUGAACACUAAACUUCUACCUUCUAUUGUACAGGUACUAGAUUUGGAAUUGAAACCACUUCCCGAGCAUCUCAAAUAUGCGUUUCUAAGGAAAGAUAAUAGCUUACCGAUCAUAUUUUUAAAUAGACUCUCCAAGCUUGAAUAGAAAAGUUUGAUACAAGUACUAAAAAACCAUAAUGAGGCAAUUGGCUGGACCAUCACUGACUUAAAAGGAAUAACCCCCUUGACAUGAACACACAAGAUUUACUUGGAGGAAAACACGAAACCAAAGCGAGAGGCGCAAAGAUGAUUGAACCCAAAUAUGAUGGAUAUGGUAAAAAAGGAAAUAAUUAAGUUGUCGGAUGCUGACAUAAUUUACCCCAUUUUUGAUAGUAGAUGGGUAAGUUCAAUGCAAGUCGUGCCCAAGAAAACAUAUGUGACAGUAAAGAAAAAUGCUAAGGGUGAUCUGGUACCAACCUGAGUGCAAAAUGGGUGGCAUGUCUGCAUUGAUUACAGGAAGUUGAAUUCUUAUACUAGAAAAUAUCAUUUCCCUCUUCCUUUUAUAGAUGCUUGAAUGUUUAGUUGAAAAACUCAUUUUUGCUGUCUUGAUGGAUACUCAAGUUUUUUCCAAAUUCUAGUUGCACUAGAGGACCAAAAAAUACCAUUUUCACAUGCCCAUUUGGCACAUUUGCGUACAAGAAGAUGACAUUCAGGCUUUGUAACGUGCUGGUCACCUUUCAAAGAUGCAUGAUGAGUAUAUCUUCUGAAUAUGUAGAAAACAUUAUCGAUGUUUUUAUGGAUGAUUUUACUGUGCAUGGGAACUCUUUUGAUGAAUGCCUUAAAAACUUUACGAUAAUUUUAAAUAGAUGCAUAGCAUUUAAUCUUAUCUUGAAUUACGAAAAGUGUCAUUUUAUGGUAGAUAAUGGAUUAAUUCUAAGACAUAUAGUUUCAGCUAAAGGGAUUGAGGUCGAUAAGGCCAAAACUGACAUUAUAAAUACUUUGCCAUAUCCCUCAACUAUAAGGGAAAUCCGUUCUUUCCUUGUCCAUGCAAGGUUUUAUAGGCGCUUUAUAAGAAACUUCUCAAAAGUAGCUGAACCACUGUGUGAGUUGUUACAAAAAGAUAAGAAAUUUGAGUUCAGCCCAAAAUGUAAUGAGGCUUUUGACACACUCAAACAGAAGUUAGUUUUUGCUCCUAUAGUACAAGCACCAAAUUGGAACUAUCCCUUUGAAAUCAUGUGCAAUGCAAGAGAACAAAGUGUGGGAGCCAUGUUGGGACAAAAGAUAGAUAGAGAGGCCCAUGUCAUUUGUUAUGCCUCAAAAACCCUAGAUGCUGCACAAAGCAACUAGACCACCACAGAAAAAAACUUUUGACUAUUAUAUUUACUUUGAAUAAAUUUUGGUCUUAUCUAUCGAGAUCUAAAGUGGUUAUUUAUUCUGACCAUGCAACUCUUAGUUAUUUGAUCACAAAAAAGGAGGUGAAACCAAUACUCAUUAAAUGGAUUUUACUGCUCUAAGAAUUCGACAUCGAGAUUUGAGAUAAGAAGGGAUGCGAGAACUUGGUGGCUGACCACUUGAAUAGGAUAAAAACACCUUGUGACGACACUCAUAUAAAGGAUGAGUUUCUUGAUGAGGGCCUAUUUUUGGCUAAAGAGUAUUUCUCAUUGUAUGCGGAUAUGGUAAACCUCAUUGCUACAGGUUUAUUACCCACAUAUAGCCUUAAAACAUCAAAAGAUUUGUGGUUUUGUAACCCUGCCUUAGGUUACGUACACUAUUAUUUGGCUUACAAUUUUUCGGGCCAGAGAGAUGCGCCGGCUACCGUCUCGAAGAUGAAAUUAUUUUUAAUAUGAUGUAUGUACACCGGUUGUCUGGUAAAUUUGGGCUAUUGGUAUGCGCUUCAAUUUGAACAUAUUAUAAAUGUCAAACGCCCUCUAAUUUUAGGCUCUUUUGUUACACAACAAUUAUUCUCUUUACAUGGCUCUAAUGUUCCUAUUUCGGACUUACAUAUUGCUUGCCAAGCCGAUCCAUUAGAUGCUUACUGUCUCGACUCUAUGCGAUUGCUUCUUGGCACUCCUUCUUCCUUCCGUUUUGUCCUUCUAGGAAUCUGAGCUUCACCGGCUAAACGAAUCUUUAGGUAGCAAAAUUAGCAAAAGGUACCCCAAGCAAAACCAACCUUCCAUAACCAUCGAACAACGUUUGGAGUGCAUUGAAGCUCGGCUGGACACUUUCGGUCAGUAGAUAGCUGAUCUCAUUACAGCUAUACAUGAACGACGGUAACUACAUAGAGAUUUUUUCUAAACCCUUUUUCUUUCAUAUAUUUGUUUUUUCACAUCAAGGACAAUGUGUUUUAAGUAUGGGGAGGCAUUCCUCUUUGUUUUUGUUGUUUUAUCUACUGUUUUGUUACUGUUGCUACUGCCUUAUAUUUGUUUUUGCCUACAUUUAUUUAUUUUUAGUCUAUCUUGACCCUUUUCAUGCCCAAGAUUUUGACCAGGAAUUACCCAUUGUUUGACCUGCGAAUCAUGAUUCUUGUCUACUAAGUUAGUUGUGAUUUUACUAUAUUGAUUUCAUCUCCACUGUUUUAUUUCUAUUAAGCUAAAAUAAUUAUGAUUAAUCAAGUUAAUCCUAUCUUGCUUAUAGUAAAAUCAAUUAAGUCUAAAUGCAAAGAGGACACUUAAUAUGAAUGUAUGCCAAAUUUAUUUUCAUGACUGAUAGGUAAUUGCCAAAACUUAUUUUGACAAUUGAUUUUGUUUCACUAGAAAACAAAAUAAAAUAAAAUCUGAUGAUUUUGUGGUUAUGAGCACAGCUUAAAACGUGACUGACAGAGUAACCGGGGUAGGGUGCUUGGAUUGUUAUCCUACUUCGCGUCAAAAGGUUGUGUGAUGUGUUAGGUAUAACUCUGCUAACCGAAAUUUAAAAAAAUUAAGAGUGUGUUGGGCUAAGUAACCGGGGUGGGGUGCUUGGGUUGUCAUUACACUUCGCAUCAAAAGGGCCAAACAUUCUUAAACAUUAAAAAAUAAUAAUAAAAUAAUAAAUAAAUAAAUAAAAAAGAACAUCUGGGGACUAAGGGUGGAACAAAUAAUCCAAGUCUAUUUACUUUUUGUGUGUUUAAGUUGAAGUACAUUUCGGUUUUACUUAAAGCAAGCUAAAGGUUUUCUUUAUUUUCAUAUGUAUUAUGCCUAAUUUUUAUAAAACUUUGGAGUGAUACUUCUUUCAUGGAAAAAUCUAAAUUACACAGUGGGAUAGGAACCAUACUUGAGGGCAAGCCUGGGCUAAGUAGGGGGAAUAUGAUAAUACUUUAAAAUGACAUACUUUUAUGUGUUAAUUGCAUAUAUAUAUUGAGUAUGCUCCUACUAAUUUGGGCUUUUUAUGGUUUUUUUAUCUUGUAGGGACUAAAUUGAAAGCAAAUGGAUGUUUGGGGGAAAAAAGUGUGAAUUUAAAGACAAAAUGGGUCAAAAUACGAAAUAGGGAAGAAAUGGUGCGAAAAUACAAAAUGCAAAAGACUUGGGGCAAAAAUUUAAAGAAGAGAUUUAUGAACAGAAAACUCUAUUUAAAUUCGAAUUUUACUUUUAGGAUUAUUGUUAGGAUUAUUAUGAUAUUAUUUAGAUUUAAUUUUAGAUUAUAUUUUAUUUUUAGGAUUAUUGUACUAUAAAUAGGGGAUGGAGUGACAUGAAUAUUCACUCAUCAUUUUUUGUAAAAAAAACUCCUUCUCCCUAAUGCUCUUAGCUUUUUGUUCCUUUUAUUUUUCAAUAAAAUUCCAUUCCAUUAAACUUAUUUCUUUUUUCCCGAAAAGCAUGAGCCACUAAACUUAUCUGGCCAAAGGUUAUCAAGACUCCUCCAAAAGAGUUCUUGAGGCUUAGAAUCCACACUUAGCCUUUUCAACGAGCAUUCAUCAUUUCUCCGCAUUACGGGACUAACGCUUCCGUCCAUGUCCUUCUAAACAUAAUAUUUUCAUCUUGUGCAAAGAACGAUCGUUUUGUAUGUUUUGGAAAGGUUGCACAGUCGGUUUGUUAACUUUCUGCGUCAGAAGUUGUCAAGCCUAAGAGACGAAAUGACAUGGCAUUUGCCAUUGAGAAACGAUGAUCUAGUGUAAGACGGUCCCACAAAAGUGAUGGUUGGCUAGAGUCAGGUUCCUCUAGAUUAUAAGGCUAUAACCUAAGUGGAGCUGGAAUAGAUCAAAGUUAUGAGUUUUGGAUUUUCUUCAAGGGCAUAGAACUUGACUUAAAGAUAUUAUUAACUUACAGAAGAAGCAUGUAAUGAUCUAACAUUUUUUUGGUUUUUUCUAUUUUUAAUUUGUUAUCGGAAUCUAUUGAAUGAUAAUUUUAUUUAUUUCUCGUACAUAUUAGUUCUUCAACAAAAUAUUUUCAAGAUUUUAUUUCUUAGAAUUUUCUAUUUUUUUAAUAAUUUUGAGUUUUGUUAUUCUCUAGUUUAAUAAUUUUUUAUUUGUUAUAUUUUUUUAAUAUAAAAGUUGAGGACUAAAUUAUUAUUAUACCAACUAAAAAAGUACCAUUUAACAGUCGGGUUAGCAAUAAAAACAAUCUCGAAAAUGUUAGUGACUAAUGGUAUAUUUUAAAAAGGUACCAUUUUUCAAUUAAUCAAAAUGAAAACUUACCCAUAGUUUAGUGACUAAUGGUAUAGUUUUCCCAAAAGUAAUCAACUAAACUAAUAAUUUUAACAAACCGGGAGGCCUUGUAUUAUUUGGCAGAGGUUGUGGAUUAACAUCUGAGGGACUUGGACUAGCAAGCUCGUUGUCCAUUAUUAUUAUUUUUAAAAAAAUUUAUUAAAGCUUUCCUUAAUUAUUUUUUUUGGGAUUAUAAUUAUGAAGUAUUUUCUUGCCUUUGUAACUUAGGUUUGAAAUGGUCCAGCUUAUUUAUUUUAAGCAUAUGUUUAGUUAAAUUCUGAUAUUUGCAUGCUUUUCGGUUUAGAAAAUUAUUACCUUAAAUAUUUUCUACUGCUUUAUAAGUACUUAAUGUUUUGAUAAAAAAACUCUUUAAAACUUAACAUUUUUCUAAAAAUUUCACCUCGAUAAAUAUCAUAAUUGAAUUGUUAAGUAAGGCCAGUUUAAAUUAAUAUAUUUUCUAAAAAUAGAAGAGUAAUUUUCAUACAAAUUCACUCGAGUAAAAAGAAUGACUUUACAGGAUCACUUUGGUGAUCAAUGUAACAUCUUCGACUUAGCCGAAACUCUUCGGCCGAGUCGGAGGUGGUACAUGAAAUAGCUAUAAUUUUACUUAAAAAUUUAGCCAAUAUGCUAUUAUAGAGAACAAAUUUAAUAAAGAAUGUAUUUCAUAACUAUGAAUGUUGAUGUUAUAAGUGAAAAGUUGUUAUAGAGGGUUAAAAUAAAACAUAAAAAAUCAAUUCUACUAGAAUUUUGGCUAUUAUAGUGAAAUGUUAUUAUAGUGGGUUAAAGAUGACUAAUUGUCUAUUAUAUUAUAUCAUUUGAUACAUUGUCAAUAGAAGUUUUAGACUCCACAAAUAAGGUCGGGUUACCAAAUAUUUUAUAAGAGUAUUAGCAAAAAAAAAAAAAAACAGAAAACAAUAUAAGCACGUGAAUGACUGAAUUUCGGCUAGUAUAGAAUGUUGGAAAGAAAUGGAAAAUUUAUAAUGUCGAUCCUUGUAUUAUAAACUAAAGAGCAACUUACUUCUUUAAGUAUAAAAAUGAGCAAUUUAUUCCCUUCGCAUUUAAUUUAACUUUGAAGACUAAACAAUAUUUUAAAAUGAAAUAAAAAAAUAUAAUGACUUAUUUGGUCCUCUAAUUUUAUAAAAAAUUAUUAUUUUAACUCUUUUUAUAACACUCUAUAUUCAGCCUAGACAUUACGGUCGAGUUUUGAGGAAUUACGUACGUUUAUUAAAAAUCCAGAAACUUGGAACUCCAAAACGUUUAGUAAAUCAAAACUUGAUAAUGAUAUUUCCAGUUUUUGAGAAAAAUUCAUUAAUCGAUUAAUUCAUUUAAAUUUCAGAAAAACAUUUAUAAGAUAACUUCUUGAAAUAGAAAUCUUAGAUUAACCGAAUUUUGGAAAAGUUGGUUUUGAAAUUCAAUGUUUGCAAUUCAAAUUAAAAAAAAGAGAGGUUAAAACAGUUCGCGUGAAAUAAAAUCCAAAACAUGAAACAAUCCCAAAGUCUAAAAAUACAGUCCAAUGGAAAAAAUAUCAUAAAAACUAAACAUAUUUAAAGGAGUUGUAAUUUUUCUAUAUCCGAACUCCGCCACAUCGAUCUAUCCUAAAUCUGAGUAUUACCUAAAAGCAAACAAACAGAAAGUGAGCUUAAGAGCUCAGUGUGUAACUUACGUCAAUUAACAAUUCAGACACAUAUGAAUUAACAUAUAAUAUACAGAAAUAUGCUUAAAUACAGAAUCAGAUACUUUCAUUUACAGAUGCAUAAACAGAUGUAGAGUCAAAUCUUAUCCUCAUUCACUACACAUCAUAUUCGAUCAUUCUUAUAACCCAUUUAGAAUAAUAAAUACUCAACCAACUCCACACACCACUAAAUGAUCGCAUGUCACUUUUUCGUAUGAUUUGAUUAUAAUUUAUUAUUCAAUAAUGAUGGACCGUAAUACAAAAAUUAAUAUAAUUCUUUAUUGAAAAAAAUAUUUUUAAACCUGAGGUUUUUUUAAAUAAUAAACCACUAAACCGGGACAACUGGGAUGAUAGUUUAUUAUAGUAAAAAGCCAUAAAAACUUUGUAAUCGAGAUGAUAAGUUAUUGUAGUAAAAGUCAUCAUUACAGAUGACAAGUGAAUGACCAUCGUCAUCGAAAAUCAAAUUCGAGAUAGUCAGUUUUUUAUAUGUGGGAUAGUGUGUCAAGCAAUGCUGGAUGGCAGCUAAAAUGGACGGGUGAAAAAUUUUGCAUUUGCAUUGCAUCAUACAUAUUUAAAUUUUGUAUAUGCAUUAAUUUGUAUGUUCCUUAUAUUAUGAAAAAAAAUAGGAACUUAAUUAUUUUAAAUAAUAAAAAUGAAAAUCUCAUUUUAAAAACAACUACUCCCUACUUUCUCAUUAUUCUCUUAUCAAUAAUAAUUAUUUAUAAAAAUUUAUUAAUUAACUUUUAAAUAAUUCAUCUUCAUAGUGACCUGCGAUGGCAAUGAGAUAGAGCGAGUCAAAUUUUCUUUUAACCCAUUUUAAUCGCAACUCGAUACUGUAUUGCCAUACCGUGAUCCCAGCCAAAAAAAAGUAACCAAGCCUAAAUUUGGCCCUGAAAAUUGAUAGAAAGCUCAACCCCGACCCAGUUAAAUUCGAGUUUUAUUUCACUCUCACGUUGUAUCACUUCAAAGCCAUCUAUUGAUAUGGAUUUAUCUUAUAAAUGGGUAUAGGAUGUAAACAUAAAACAAAAUGUAGUUAAUCUCUCGCAUUUAUUUCACUCUCACGUUGUAUCACUUCAAAGCCAUCUAUUGAUAUGGAUUUAUCUUAUAAAUGGGUAUAGGAUGUAAACAUAAAACAAAAUGUAGUUAAUCUCUCGCACGCACACAUUUUUGAGUUUAUAUCAAUGGAGAGGAAUUUAAACAUUCUGUCAUACUUCAAUGUUUAAGUAAAAAAAUACAUAAUGUUAAAACGCUUUGAGAAUUUUAAAAUCUUAACUUUUAAUUCUUAUUCUAUAUAAAUAUUAUAUUUCUUAUAUUUAAUUGUCAAGUUAUUCAAUUUAUAGUUGUUAAGUUAAUUAUUUAGUUUAGUAAUUAUUUGAAUUGUUAGUGCAGGAGUGGUAGCACGAGGCGCUGGUAGGGGGCUCAACUCUUUAAAAUUGGAAACUUAAAUUUGAAUCUUAAAAAUGAUAAAAUUAUAAUUUAUUCUUUAAAAAUUUAUAAUUAUAUUCUAGUUAUCAUAAAACUAUACAACUUAAUUGUCACAUCCCGAAAAUCGGAUUAGAAGAAAUUGAGCUAGUGAAACCAAAAGUGGUCACGUCAUGUUUUUGAAUUAAGUGUUGUGAAAUUUUGUUAAAUAAUUUGAUUUGGUUUAGUGGUUAAGUAUUUUGAUUUGUGUGCUUGAGGUAUUGUGUUCUAAUCCCUUCUUUUGAAUAAUUAUUAAUUUUUGCCCCAACCUUUAUCAAUGAACAUUUGGUUUAUAGAUUAUUUUUGUUUAAUCUAUGAUAGAAUGAGUCUACUAGUUCAGUAAUAAGGUCUUGUGUUUGAAUCUUGUUUGUGCAAAGCGGGAAGUAUUUUUGUUCUCUUACAUUGUGCAACCCAUGUGACACAAAGAAUUUGGGAUAAAUUCAAAUUCUAGGGAAAAUCUAAUAAGUGAGUAGUUAAGAGGAUAUUGGUAGUUUUUCUCCCCAAAAAUCUCCCACUACCACUCCCAUGUCCCUCAUUCCUCACUUUCUCUCUUUUUCUCAAUUUUUGUUUCCAGUUUACCUAUUAUUGAAAUUUUAUUUUCUAACAUCAUUUCUUUUGUUUCUUUUUUCUCUUUUGCGCACAUUACCAAUUUUUCUUUCUUCAUUGGAGAACUUAGGUGUAUUGUUUUUCUUUCAUUACUUUGAUUUAUCAUUUGUUGCCGCUUUGCUACGGUACAGACACUCAGUUUCUGUGUGGUGCUAUCAUUACUGUUGUGCUAUUUUUGUGUUGGGAAUCGUAUACUCUUUUAUUUCCUUAUUAUUUGUUAUGAACCGUUCUUUCAUGUGAAGGAUGAGUGGUUUAUUUUAUUUUAUAGCUUUGGUUGUAAUCGUUUGUAGGAAACUUUGUAGGUGGAAGAUGUGUGACAUUUACUCCUUCAGCAAAUAAUGAGCUUUAAGAACUAUUGUUUCUAUUUGUGGUAAGCGAUCGAUUGCCUUGUAGGGGUUCUUAUAGGUUGGGUAAAGGCCAAUUGCAUUUUUUGCUUAUGGUCAAAUUAAUGUUUGAAUUUUGCAUAUUGAUUGUUAAUUAGUUCAUUUGGAAUGUCGUUUUUAGGUGUUGGAAUCACGACUAUUGUGUCGGCAACGAAAAAAGAUCAAGUGUGUAACGAAAAUUUUGAAAAACAGUGAACAACGUGAAAUCGAAAAGUUGAUUGUUGACACCACACUGCCGUGUGCCAAACCAUGUGAACUGAUCUAAGUCAAUUGGAUCGUGUGGCCCACACGUCUCCUUAGGGUCGUAUUUGUUGUGUAAAUCAAAUUUAGCCUUCCAUAAGGUCUGUAUGGUAUAAAUAUGACUAUAAAUAUUGAUAUAUGAUGCUCUAUUUUUGUUUAAUGUGAAUUAUGAUCGCAUAAGAGGUAUGUUAUACGUUAUAGCAUGAUGCGUUUUAUGCUAAUGUGAUCUAAAAUCUGUUGUGAAUAGCAUGUAUGACAUUCACGCAUUCGAUAUCUAUUUAUUUAUGCAUGUACAUCGGGGUGGGUUUGAUUUGUGAUAGAGGAAGUAUAUUCUGGUAGUAUUACUGCAAUUUUGACGAUUAAACCGUAAUAUCUAUCUGGCAGCUUAGCUGCACCUUUAUGAGUGACAUACCAUUAUGACCCAAUGUGAUUGGAUGAAAGGACUCUUCCAGUCCUAAUUAUGACAUACCACCAUGACCCGAUGUGAUUAGAUGGAAGGACUCUUGUAGUCCUAAUUGGUGUGGUUGGUUGGACGGAGUUGGUGUGUAGCAAAUGGAGGUAGGAUCUGUGAUUGCAUUUUUUUCCGAAUCUCAAUAUGCAUCUCUAUCUGAUUAUGAAAUACAUCUUAUUCUGUAUAUGAGAAUAUGUUUGAAUUUGUAUCUAAAAAUGUAUUUGUUUAUUUAUGUAUAUCUGAUUUGUUGCUUGAGAUGUGUUACACAUUCGACUUUUAGCUCACCCAUUUGCUUAAUAUGGUUUAGAUUAUCUUCAGACUUAGGACCGUACGGCGUGCGGGAGCUCGAAUUGAUUUCUCACUUAAGUUCGUUUGAUUAUUUUUAAUUAAUUAAGUUUUUCAGACUUUUGGGUUUUUGAACUAAGUUUUCAGAUUUGGUUUGUUUUUCGGUUUUUGUUUUGGUCAUUGGUUUUUUCUUCUUUUUUUUGUAUUUUAAUACGAAACUACAAAAUCAUACGAUUUACUAAAUUUAGAAUUUGGUUUCUAAAAUUAAAACUCUAAAAUUUCCACUGCAAAACUAAAUAAGUCAUUAAGUGAUUUCACUGUAGGAUAAGUGUUCCAAACAUAAGAUUUGACUAAAAUCUGUAAGAAUUUUUCUGUGAAAUAAAUAAGUUCUGUGCACAAUUUCCAAAAUAACAUGUAAGAGAUUUGUUAAAAAUUAAUAUUUUCAAAUAAUGUUAUUACUAAAGUUAAAGAGCAAAUUUCUGAAAGUUUCCAUUGUUUUAUAAGUAAAUGUUUAAGAGUUUCCACUAUUUUAUAAGUCAAUGUUUAAGAGAUUGUGUUGUGAAAUAGAUGUUGUUAAACUUGUGAUUUUCCUGAAACUCGUAUAAGUUUAGUUAAAUUAAGAUUUUAGAUCAUACGAUUUCUAAGGUAGAUUUUACAUUGGUUUUUCAUAUGAGUUGUUGUAAUUUCUCCAGAUUUGGCUAUAACGUUUAGGUCGGGUUUGGGGUAUUACAUUAAUUCUAGCCCUUUUAAUUUUUUUUAGAUUUUCCACUAUAUUAAUAAAAUUAUAACUUAAAAACCUAAAUGAUUAAUAGAAAAGUUAACAAAGAGAAAACUAGCCGUAAUUUUAUUUCAAAUCAUAGUCAUUAUAUUGAGAUAUACAUUGGCGACAUUAAUUGGAUAUACCUUGGAAAAAACUUUUUCAUCACUUUAUGAUCAUUUUAAUUAUUUAUAUUUUUGCAAUUUUUUAAAAAAUAAAUUUAAAAUUUAUAGUUUCGAAAAGGUUUAAGUACAAUUUUUUUUCUUUUUUUUGCUCAAUCGAGUAACAUAACUCAAGGAAGACGUUGGAACCACCAAGUCUUUCAAGAACAAAAGAAUUACAACAAAGUUUCAUCAGACAAUCCAAAUCAAACACCCCUUCACAACAAUUACAAUAAUGACUUUAGCAAUUUCACCAUGAGGUUUUAAAAAGAGAAGAUCUCGAUAUACCUGCUUUUGCCAACGCGUCUACCAUACCAUUACUUUUUCGAUCAAUAAUCACAAUCUGAAAAUGAGCCAGUUGCUUAGUGCCACAGUCGAUGUCCCCAAUCAAUUUUCGUAAUGACCAUGGUCUAUAAUACCUUUUAGACAGCCAUUCCGAAGCAGCAUCGAGCAUAAUUCGAUUAUUAAUGGAACAUGCACCUUCCUACUCACUUCAAUAUACAUAUCCACUCCUAUUUUAAUUGCCAUUAUUUCUGCCAAAUUCAUUCCCCUAGCUUCAACUCGCCCCGAAAAUAAAGCACAAGCCACCCCUUUUUAAUCUCUCAAAACUCCACCACACCCUGCAACCUCCUCUAAAACAACACCAGCCACAUUGAAUUUCAUCCACUCGGUUGGAGGUGACUCCCAAUGGGAAACAAUCAUGUUUUUCAUAUUCAAUAAGGGGCGACAUUUUACUAGCCAAGACCACCAAUCCCCUUCCAAAAAUUGGCAUUCUUCAUGCACUGCCCUAGCCCACAUCAAAGCUCUUAUUUUAGAGUGGAACAACAUUAUAUCAAGAUUUUUCGAUGCCCUUUCAAAUACGUUGUCGUUCUAAACUAACUGUUGGAAAAAACACGUUAGCGAACAAAAUAAUUAAAUAUAAAUAAACACAUAUAAAAUAAAAUAUAAAUAGAAUGAUUUAUAUUUAAUUUAUCAAAUAUGAAAACCAAUAAAAAUCGUAACAAAAGUUGAAACCAAAAGAAAGAAUAGAGAUUUUACUAAACGUUGAGGCCUAUUAAAAACAGUUUCCUUAAGACGGAUUCGGCUACUCCUACGGUAGUUGGAGAAACAUUGGUCGAAUGUCUCCCAGGAUACAACAACAACAAUGAUCAAAGCAGUAGCACCUCUGCAGCAAUCAACAAACGAACAUUGCCUUUUUCUAUCACCAGAACGUUUGAAAAAUCAAAGAAUAAAAGAAGAGUUUUGAGAGCAAUAGAAAAUCGGUGUGAGAGUGUGGAAAAUAAGCAAAGAAACCUUAGCCUUUUAUAAACAGAUUAUGUCCUGAGAAAAAUAAAUUCGUGUUGGGCUAAAAUAUUCUUAGGCCCAUUUUGGGCCCAACUGGUCCAAACAUUUCGCAUUGCCCACGUCGUGUGCGCCCCAACCCCAUUGGGUUUGGACCUGCACCCCCUAUGCACGAGGCAGGAUUCCAAACUUAGUCAUUCAAUCACCCUUUAAGAGGGUUCCCAUAUAUAAACACAUCUCACACUUGGUAUUUAACCAAUGUGGGAUCUAAGCCUUUAUUUUUCCUCAACAAAUAUUUCCAAGCAGCUUACUUUGAGCAUCAAUUUCUCAUUCAUCACUCAACCAUUUUGAGCAUAUGAUAUAUCGUUGUAAAGGUCUCAUGGAGUAGAAUAUGAAACCAUAAUUUUAUAAUUUAACUCUCCACCUUUACCUAUUGAAGAUAUGCCUCAAAGUUCCCAUAAUAUGUAUUUUUUCCAACAAUCCCCCACAUGAAUGAAAAUUGAUAGUUUUAUCGAAAAACAUUGACUUGAUGUGGUGAUAGAACCUACAAUCAAUAGUUGCAUAGGAUAGGUAGGUAUCCACCCUUGAACCUUCCCUUGUGAAAGUAUAUUUACUUUACUAGCUGACCAGUAGACGUGAUGUCCUUGAAAUGUUCUGUCUUUUGUGUAAACGAUGAUAUACCUCACACAACUACCUCCUUGGCAAGAUUUUAGUUCUCAUGGGUAUGUUCAUAUAGCCGUGAACAUCUUUUAGUUCUACAAGAUUUUGAGAGAACUAUGCCCCAAUAGUCUUCUCGAAGCGGCCCCACUUCACUCUCACAUAGGUGACUUAUGUUGUUUGACUCAACAAAAUACACGAUGGUCAUUAAAAGCAUUACUUAACCUCUCCCAUUUUUAGUCACUAUUUACAUCAUAGGAACAGACUUGGGAUAAGUACCCCACAGUGACCUCACAAGGUCUAUGCAAUUAGGUUGUCCCUUUGAACCUAGAUCUUGGGACCUCUAGUCAACUAGGUAGGGUUUUCCUUCAUAUAGCGCCUUUUAUUUUCAUAGGCUUUAGUCUCAUUCCUUUCGAUGUUUUAUCAACAUGAUCUCAUUUUAAGCCUUUAUUCAGCGGAUCCAUAAAGUUAUCUUUUGAUUUUACAAAAUCAAUAAAGAUAACUUCGUUUGAGAUCAGUUGUUUAAUGAUAUUGUUUCGACGACAUAUAUGUCUCGACUUAUCAUUAUACGUUACGUUAGCAAGACACCCUCCAUACUUUCAAGUGGUUGUAGGAUGGUUUGCUGCCUUUCCAUAAAUCAUAUGGUGUCUUGUCUAUUUUUCUUGUGGGGUACCUUAUUUAAAAGGUAAUUAACUCAUAAAAAUGCUCCCCCCACAUUUCCUGUGAUAACCUAGAGCUUUUUAGUAGUGUGUUCAUCUUUUCCCUUUAAAGUCUAUUUUUUUGCUCGGCUACCCUAGUUGAGGAAAGUAUGGUGGUGUUACUUCAUGAAUAAUGUCAUGUUGUGCACAGUAUUCACCAAAUGGUUCAACAUAUUCAUCACCACGAUCACUUCUCACCAUCUUAAUCUUUUUAUUAAGUUGGUUUUCAACUUCCCGCUUAUAGAGAGCCAAUUUCUCUAUAGCUUCGUCUGUACACAUAGCAAUAUUUUGUUUUAUCAUCAAUGAAGGUAAUAAAAUAUUUAUUCCCUCCUCUCAUUUGAACAAACUUUAAGUUGCAAACAUCGCUAUGUAUAAGAUCAAGUGGUUCCGUGCUUCUUUCAACAGUUUGAAAUGAAGACCUUGUUAAUUUUGUCUCAACACAAGUUUCACAUUUAUGUUUAUAAUUAAUGUGAAAUGAAGGAAUGUGCUCCAAAUUAAUUAAUCUACGUAAAAUAUCAUAAUUAACAUGUCUGAGCGUACCAUGCCAUAAACCAAAUGAAUCAAGCAUAUAAACAGAGGAAGAAGCGACAUUUUUAUUCAUUGUCUUUGCUUUUACAGAGAUUGCAUUAAGUUUCCACAUGUUAUUUAAUACAUAUCCCCUUCCCGCAUACAUUCCCCCUUUGACAAAACUAGCUUCUGGGAUUCAAACAUCAUCUUAAAGUUGUGUACAUUAAGGAGUGUACCAGAAAUAAGGUUGUUGCAUAUGUCAGGCACAUACAACACAUUUUGAAGCUUGAGUUCUUUGCUAGAAGUCAUCUUCAAGACCACAGUACCCUUCCCCUUGAUAUUGGAAGUUGCAGCAUUGCCCAUAUAGAGCUUCUCCCUAUUUUCACAAGGUUCCAACUCAGAAAAUGAGUCUUCGUCAUAGAAGAUAUGACGUGUGACACCUGUAUCAAGCCACCGUUCUCUUGCAUUUGAAUCAACCAUGUUGACUUCAGAAAUCACAGCACAUAAGUCCAUAUCUUCCACAGCAUUGAUGAGAGUUUCCAUUUUCUGUCAAGAAAUAGAAUCAGCUUUUGUUAGACGACAGGAAUCUAAUAAAACCCGAAACAAAAGUUUAUAUAGUCUAAUAUAAAAUACAAUAAAACAAUGCACCAGGUAAGUAACCCUAAAAGAGAGGUGGUGCACUCAGCACGCUUAAAUACAAAGUCCUUCAAAGAACCAAUCCUAGACAUGCAUUCUCAUACUGUCUUUUUAAUUCACCGUUGAUAAAUUUCCUUUUUAAUUCACAAUUUAAAGCCACAAUUAGGCCAAAAAAUAAACAAAAAAUUUCUUUUUUAUUUUGUUAAACGGCAAAAUUAAAAUUAUGAAACAAAAUCAAAAUCAAUUUUGUUAAACGACUGGACUAAAUCCUAACAAAAUUAUGUAAUUAAAUCAAAAUAAAUUCUGUUAAACGGUGGGAAUAAAUCUCGAAACAGUAUUAUUUGACUAAGUCUUCGUUUGGAAACAAAUUAAUAUAGAAUAAAAUCUUGUUAAACGGCGAGAAUAAAUCUCAGAACAGAUUUUAUUUAAUUUAAUUUAAUUCUAAUUUGGAAACAAAAUUAAAAUUGAAUAAAAUAUUUUUAAUCAGCGGGAAUAAAUCUCGAAAUAGAUUUUAUUUAAUUUUAAUUUCUCGUUUUUGGAAAUAAAAUAAAAAAGAAUAAAAUUCAUUGAACGACAGGAAUAAAUCUCGAAAUAGAUUUUAUUUUCAUUUAAAUACUCGUUUUGGAAAUAAAAUCAAAAUGGAAUAAAAUUCGUUAAACAGCAGGAAUAAAUUCCGAAACAGAUUUUAUUUAACUUUAAUUUAGAAACAAAAUUGAAUAAAAUUUGUUAAACAGUGAAAAUAAAUCCCGAAACAGAUUUUAUUUAGUUUUAAUAUUCGUUUGGAAAUAAAUAAAAAACAAAAUAGAGAAUAAAAUCUGUUGAACGGCCGGAAAAUAAAAUCAAGAAACAUAUUUUAUUUAAUUUAAAAAUUUAUUUUCUAAUAAAUUUUCUUUUCUUUUCUUUUCGCCUUGGUAUCUCAUUUAACUCGGAUUAGAGAAUUGCAAAAAUAAUCAAGUCUGUCUUAAAAUUGUUGGACAAAAUACGUUAGCGAACAAAAUAAUUAAAUAUAAAUAAACACAUAAAAGAUAGAAUAUAAAUAAAAUGAUUUAUAUUUAAUUUAUGAAAUACAAAAACCAAUUAAAACUGUAACAAAAGUUGAAAUCAAAAGAAAGAAUAGAGAUUUUACUAAACGUUGAGGCCUGUUAAAAACAGUUUUCUUAAGACAGAUUCGGCCGCUCCUACAGUACUUGGAGAAACGUUGAUCGAAUAUCUCCCAGGAUACAACAACAAAAAUGAUCAAAGCAAUAGCACCUCUGCAAUGAUUAACAAACGAACAUUGCCUUUUUCUAUCACCAGAACGUUUGAAAAAUUAGGAGAAUAAAAGAAGAGUUUUGAGAGCAACAGAAAAUCGGUGUGAGAGUGUGGAAAAUAAGCAAAGAAAUCUUAGCCUUUUAAAGGCAUUUAGGAUAGUGGAAAUUUUGGAAAUAUCUACAAAAUCUACCACUAAAGGAGCCUACAAAUCAAAUUGAUUGGAAUCAAAUAAAUAAGAGAGUUCUUAUAUAAAAAGAUUAUCUCUGCUGCCUAUUUUGGGCCCGAUCAAAGGACAACAAUUGAGACAACUUCCUAACUGUAAAUUCCCCGGUACUGUUGUGAAUCCAAAUUAUACGAUCCUCCACUUUCGAAUCAAGCUCGACACUCCCCACCAAAUUCUUCAAAUUAUUCAACAUACUCACCUCCCUAUCCAGCAACACCCUUGAGAAAACGUCCCUUCAGGGCACCUCUUCAAAGCCAUUAUUCCUUGCUACAUCUUUGACCACAAUAUUCUUCACAGUAGAAAGUCUAAACAAUCUAGGGAAUUCCACCUUCAAUGGACGAAUUCCACACCAAAUAUCCUCCCAAAAGAGGACAGAUUUCCCAUUCCCAAUCACCCAUCUAACAGAUUCCGACCCAAUCCAUUUUGACACUUCCUCUAACUUUGAAUUUUCCACAAUACCACACCAAACUACUGACAUUUCUUUUGGUUUGGAAGUCUUAAAUCUCCAAUGUUGCAAAUGCGCGUCAUACUUCUUUGGGGAAAGUGGGAGGGAGUAAAAGUAAUGGGGAAAAGUAAAAAAAUUUGGAGGUUUGAGGUAAAAAUGUAAAAUAUUAUAGUUUUAUAUUCAAUUUAUUCGAAUUAUUUGAAUCAUUCAAAUUCGAAAAUUAAACUCCAUUGAACUCGAAAUUUGAAAAGAAAAAGUUUGAGUUGACUCGAUUAACUCGAAUAACUCAAUUCGUUUAACUCAAAAUUUAAAUUUUUUUAAAAUUUUUCGAAUCGAAUCGAGUUUUGUUCACCCUUACAUAAUAUUAUUUGUAAUGAUCAAAAUUGUUUGUGUACACAAAUUUGAAAUUGACUACUAAUCCUUUGGGAUUGGCUAUGAAUUUGAGGUUUUAAUCGGCAAUUAAUUUAAUAAAGAAUUCAAAACUUAUCUCAAUAGACUUUAAGUCUUAAUGAUUAGUGGGUGUUUUUAUCUUAAUUUUAGUAUUUAUAACUCAUGUUAUUUUUAUAUUGAAAAUAUAUAAAAUAGCAAAAUUUUCACAACCAAAAGCUUGAAAAGAACUUUAUUGAAUUAUUAAGGCGAUAAGUAGAAAGACAAUCGAUUUGUACUUUCUUUAACUAAAUAUCCAUCCCUUAAACAACAAGCUUAAUAUAAUUUCAAAGUGUGACUGGCUCAAUCAACAAUGAAGUGAUUACAUCUUUGAUCGCUUUUCUAACAUAUGUAUAGCCAUCUCCUUCCUUGUAAAGCACAUCCAUUACCCUUGAAAGGUUUAGGGUACGAUUCAUAACCUCUGUUGGCAUUUUUGUUGGUUUCAGAAGCUAUUGAUUCAUAUCUUUCCAAGCACUCUCAAUAUAUUUGUUGAAUACAUCGUAUGUCUCCUGUGCUGUUACGUUAUAUUCUUUCAUGUAAUAGUCGAUUACUGACCAAUCGUCUUCUCUCCUAUGCUUGAACUGCAUUCGUAAUAAAAUCAAAAUUAUUCUAUCAUUAUAUACCCUAAAAUUUGUCAAUAUAUUAAACUUUAUUUGUAUAGUGAUGAUAAAAUACCUUUAUUGACAAUACUUCCUCACUAGUAACCCUAAAAUAAAACUAGGUUUUCUUUCUUAUUCGACUAAAAAUGACAUAAACAUCAAAAUUCAUUUGUUUCAUAUCAUGAUAAAAACCAUAGUUUGAUUUCAUUAAAAAGAUAUUUAAUUAUUGAGUUAAGAGUUCGAUUUCUUGUGAUUAUAUAAAUAUAUUAUUAUACCUUGUGUUCAGCAAUAUCAUCCAUAAACCUACAAAUAAUUGCGGAAGCUUGAAUGAUCUUAGGUUCACUGGCUGCCCAUUUAAACGUCUCUGGUGUUACGAUAUCUCCCAUACCGACGAAAGAUGUAAUAGCAAGCAUGGCAUAACCAGUAGAUGACAAUGCAUUAAUCUUAAAUUCCUCGAAUGAUGGUUUGUAGUUUUGAAGAGCCCAUUUGGCCUCCACAAAGUAGGAUUGAGCAAGUCGUAUCAGCUGAGGCAACAAAAUCCCAACAAUUAUCACUAAUAUCAAAUCAAAUUCUAUAAUAAUAUUUAAAUGACUAUAUAUUGUUAUUCAAGUUAAUUGUUUUUUCAGAUCUAGAAUUUAGCUAAUAUCUUAUCUCGUUUGUACCAAAUAAAUGUUUGUCGGUAUACAUACUGCAUUUUUCGCAUAUUCGACACGAUAUUGUCUCCUGUGCUCAGCCACUAGUUGUUUCAUUUCUUCAUAAACAUCUAAUAGUGCCUUGUAGCUCAAUUUCAUAUAUUCUGGAAGUUGGUCUAUGCAUUUAAUUUCCCACAUAAAUCCAACUUCAUUGUUAUAUUCGAUCAUUUGACAUAAUAUAUUUGAAUGUUAAUCUCCAAUUAAAGAAAUCUAACCUAUUAAACAAAUUAAAAACAUACCUCUCAAUAGCACUUGUAUAGGGAAUGAGCUCAUCAUAUGUUGCAUAUGAGUCAUAUGUAUCAUCUAUAACAGAUAUCAUUAUUAUCACUUUUGCCAUCAUCUUUCUACCAAGUGAAUAGUGGGCCUCAAAGUACACUCCCAAGAUCCAAAAAUAACAUUCAACGACUCUAUCUUUUGUAUAUCGCAACUUUAUUUGAAAGUCUUAAUCAUUCCGCAACCUAAAAAAUGAAUCUUUAAAGGUUUAAUUAGUUUCACAUUCUUGUUGCGGAUGAGUAAAUGGUUAGAUUCUUGACUUAGGCUAAAUCUUUGAAGGGGGAGGGGAGAGCUCUCAGUUUUUCUUUUUCUGAAACUAAGGGCUAAAUGAUUUUUUUUUGUUUAAAAUUUGACUUUUAUAGGCCCCCAAAACGACGUCGUCUUGGGCAGGCCUCUCAGGCACCAAAACGGCGCCGUUUUGGCCAUGAAAUUGUUAUUCGACCUGCUCCAACCUUAGGAUCAACGUGUUUUUGUGGAAGGGUCUAUUUGCGCUUCUGGCCCUUCCACCCUUUUUAUUAUUUACAAUCAAGUUUUUUUAUUUUUUUUAUUUUGCCCUAUAAUUUAUUCUGGCUUCAACUUUAGUCCCUGAUGGAACUGUGCGUUUUGGAGUGUGGGAAUUAUUUCUCAUUCAAUCCCUCUAUCUUAUCCACGCGUUCAAUCUAGUCCUCUCUUUUGCGGUUAUUUCUAAUUUGCCCCAAAACUUUGUUCUAAAGCUCAAUUUGAUCCUAUUUUGUUAUUUUGGCUGUUCUAUUAUUAAAUUAAUUAAUUUAAAAUUAUUAUUGCUAUUAUUAUUUUACCUUAUUUAUAUACUUAUUAUUACUAUAGCUAUAUCAUUAUAUCAAUUAGUUUUUAUAUUAUUAUUUCCAUUUUUUUUUAUUUACUAACAUAAACACUUUAAAUGCAUUUAUUUUAUUUUAUCUACUUUUUUCUUUUUCCUCUUCAAAACUUUAGACUAUUUAUCAUCGUUAAUAUUAUUAUUUUUAUUACUAUAACCCUAAUUCCAACCCUUUUUUAAUGAUCAUUUCAAUAUUUCCUAGAUUAAUCUCUUUAAUGUUAUUUUGUGUAUUUAUUUAUUAAUUUCUUUUAAUUUUGAUAUCGUCGUGUUAUGUUUUUUUAUAUUAUUGUUUAUACCGUUAUUAUUCAUUAUUAUUGAUGAUUUUAUUGUUUCUUUGAUUAAUUAAUAUUAAAGUGACUGUCGAAACCAUUUUUUUACCGUGAAAAUGGGAUCGACUUGGAUUUUGAAAACGAAAACGAACAGGGGAGUCGCCACCAAUCUUUUUUGAUGAGGUGCGAUCGGGCCACCUCGAAAAAUGAUUGUUUUUAAUAAACGAUUUAAUUUUAUCAAAACAGCGGUUUUGGUCUACGAAAAUCAGAAAACGGGUCUGGGUGUCGGUUACAUACGAGGAAGGAUUAGCACCCUCGUAACGCCCAAAAUUGGUACCUAGCUGAUUAAUUAGUGUCUUAGUGUCGAAGAUUGAAAAUUUUGAAGAGUUUUUUAAAAAUAUGAUCCGUUCUACAAAACAUUGAGAAUUUUUGAGACAAAGACAUAUUUUCACGUUAAUCGAGAAAGAAAAUUACUUCCCGUAAGUUAGGAUGCAAUGCCUAAAAUUCCCGAUACAAGAAUGAAUACCGAAAAAUUUAUUUAAAAAGAUAUUCAAUUAUCUCGGGUUUAGAAAAGAAAUCAUGUCCUGUAAGUUAGAACCUGAUCUUUUGUUAAAUCCUAAGAUCAUAAAAAUUUACUUGAAAAGAUUCGUAUAUUUAGAUUUAUUGGGAAAAUCAAAAUCUCGUAAGUUAGGAUACGACUUUUCCAAAUCUCAAAAUACGAAAUGCUAUUUGUUUGAAACAAAUGUUGAUGUAUCGAGCGAAAUAAAGCACGAAGUCGUAAAAAAUGCGAAAAUAGAUUAUAUCGUUGGCAUGCAAGACAAGCAAUGAUAAAUACGAUGAUGCAAACGUGAAUAGCAUGAGCAACAACCAAUAAAAGAUAAAUAAAAGACGAAUCAAUCAUGCAAGAUAAUAAGUAGAUAAACUAUUCGAAUAAGAUGGGCAUAAAAUAAGAAAGUAAACACCGCGAGAAACAACGAAACCGUAAUGGAAAUAAAUAAAAAAUGUACAAUAUAAAAAAAUAAAUAUAUGUAUGUAUGUCUACGUAAAAUUAUAAAAAUAAGAAGAAUAUAUAUAUGUAUACGUUUAAAAUAUAAAAAUGUAGGUAAGUAUGUAUAUAUAUAUGUUUACGAAUUAAAAUAUGCAUUUAUAUUGUCGAACCAAUUUUUUUGAUAAAAUAAAAAAAAUUAGUUGUCGACUUAAAAAUGAAAUUGGAGUUACAACCGAUCCUUUAUUGAAGUGUGAUCGGCUCACCUUAAAAAUGAUCUUGGUCUACGAAAUUUGAAAAAACGAGUUCGGGAGUCUGUUACGCACAAGGAAGGGUUAGCACCCUCGUAACGCCUAAAAAUCGGUACCAAAUUGAUUAUUUUAAUGUCUUAGUGUCGAGGAUUAAAAAGAUUUAAAAAAAACUCAAAUGAUGAAAUCUGAAAAGGAUAAUCAAAUAUUUAAGUCAAACGAAGAAAUCGAGACUCAAUACGUUAGGGUACAAUUUCUCAAAAUCCCCAAACUUUGAAUAUCGCUUUUACUUUAUAGGAAAACCUUCAUUUCGAGAAAGCAAUAUGUCAUGCCCAAUACAUUAGGACACAACAAGUUAAGUUCCCGGAAAUGAUUUUUAUACUUAUGCAUUUUGAAUAAAGCAUAUACUCGGUUAUUUAGGAUUAAUAAAGAAAAUCAGAACCCAAUACGUUAUGGCUCAAUUUCUUUGAAAAUCCCGAAUAUUGAAUAUUGCAUUAUUUUAAAAGCCUUUGAAUCAAAAGAAAAUGAUUUUAAUGUUUUGACGAAACCAAAAUAUAUAUUUUUAAAAGGUAUGUUAAAAAGUUAAUGUUCAAUAUAAAACAAAUACUUUAAUUUAAAUUAUGCAUGUAUAUGUAUUUACAAAAAAUAUAUAUAAGGAUGAUAUAUAAGUGAAUUUUGAAAAUAUGUGUAUGCAUAUAUUAAAACUUGCAUAUAUAAGUAUACAUAUAUAAAAACAUGAAAUACACCAAACAAAAAAAAUAAAAAAAAACUUAUAAUAAUUCUACAAAAAAGGUAUGCAUACAUAUAUUAUAGAAAAUGCAUAUAUAUGUGCAUAGAUUAUGGAAUAUAAAAGAUGCAUACGUGUUAUAAAAUGUUAAUGUGUAUAUAUAUACAAAAGUCAUGAAAAUAAAACAAUAAUAAAAUAUAUAUAUAAAAUAUAUACAUGAGUUUACCCAAAAAAAAUGUAUAAGUGUAAUAUGUCAGUAAAUUAUAAAAUGCGGAAAAUAUAUUUAUAAUAGUUUUGAAUAGUGUAUGAAUAUAUAUAUACACAUAUUAUAAAACAAUGUAUAAACAUAUUGUACAAGCCCAUUUUUUUGCCCGGGACCAUCACCAAAAUUAAAUAACCCAAUACCAAAAAACACUAAACCAGCAAACAAACCCAAACAGACCCAAAUCAAAACAGCCCAAAAAAACAAAAAAUUAAAAGCCCAAUUAGCCCAAAACCCCUAAAACGUUUCAGCAAGCCCUAGCGCUGCAGCCCUCUUCCCCUAGCUCUGCUGGCCGCCGCACACGUCCCUUCAGCCACCUGCCCUCUGACGCCGCACCUACUCCUGUAAAAACAGAAGCAAAAAGAUAGAAGCAAAAAACAGAGGACAAUAGCAAAAAUGGCAUUUUUAUUUUUCUUUCGGCUAUAAAGCCGAUUGGAAAACAACAAAAUGGGGGGCUUCAUCACUGUAAUCAGGGGGAUUUUUCUUUUAUUUUUUCUUUUCGGCAAAAGCCGAGUUUGCUGUAAAAGAAGAAGAGUUUUCUCUUCUUUCGGUUUGCUAUGAACAUUAAGAUAAAUAAGAAAACCAAAACAGAUUUUUGAAGGUGACUUUUUCUUUUUUACGUUUCUUCCUUGUUUUAUUUUAUUUUUUUAUUUUAUCUUUUACAUAAGAAAUACGAAAUAAAAAGGUGGCAAAGAAAGCUUACCUGCGCCGCGCCGGAGAAAGGGGGAAAGCGAACGGUUUUCUCCUUUUCCUUCUGGUUUUGGCCCAUUUUUAACGAACCCAACCUCGAAUCUGGGUUCCCAGGAAUGAUCGGCUUCAAAUAGGGCUAAAAAGGCCCAUUCUUGCACCUCCGGCCGCCGUUUACGGCGGAGCCACGGCGGAGGUGAACCGGACCAGUGGCUGGAUUUUGGGGAAGAAGAUGAGAGGAGAGUUUUGAAUUUUUUUUAAAGAAUGGGGGCUGAAUGAAAAUUUUUCAGAAAAUUUGGGCUUAAAUACUGAUAUAAAACGGCACCGUUUUGAUAGGGUUAGGACAGCCCCAAAACGACGUCGUUUUGGGCUCCUGACCCGAGACCCGACCCAUCUGCCUUAGGGGAUCCGCGUGUUUUAACGGAAGGGCUAAUUACGCAUUUAGCCCUUCCGCUUUUUAAUGCUUUUAAAAUUAGGUUCUUUUAAUCUUUUGAAUUUUACCCGGAAUUUUAUUGCGUUUUCAAUGUAGUCCCUUCUGAAACUACGUCGUUUUAAAGGCGAAGGACAAAUUUCCUUUUUAGUCCCUCCAUGUCUCGCGCGUGUUUAGAAUUAUCCCUCCCUUUUUAUUUAUUUAUGAUUUGACCCCGAAUUUUAUUAAAUUUUUAACUUAGUCCUUUUGUUAUUUUGUUUAUUUUCUUAAUAUUAUAUUAUUAUUUCCUCAUUUAUAUAUAUAUACAUACUUAUAUAUAUUUUAUAUUUUAUAAUUUUUAUAUAUAUAUUUAUAUACAUAUACAUGUAUAUACAUACUAACAUAAACUUUCAUAUUUAAUAAUUUUGAAAUACAUAUAUACAUAUAUUUUUCAUAUUUUUAUAAAUUUAUGUGCAUACACACUUUUUUUUUAUAACGUAUAUACUUAUAUUAUAUAUAUACAUAUUAUUUUAUAAUCUAUAUACCUAUAAAUGUAAAUGUUUAUGCUUUUAUUUUUUAUAAUCCAUAUACAUAUCUUUUAUUUAUUUAUUUGUAUGUCUGUUAUUAUUAUUUAUUAUGCUUUAGAAUUUUUAUUUGCUUAUUACUCGUUAUUGUACAUACGACAUUAAUUUUAUUUAUAUACAUGUGGCUUCUUAUUUAUUCAUCUUUUAUUUUUGCUUGUAUUAUUUUUUACUUACAUCAUUAUCAUUGUUAUUCCAUUACACCCAUUUUUAUUUAGAUUUCAAGAAAGAAAUUUUAAAAAUAUAAGUAAUACUCGGUAUUUGGGAUCUUCAAGAGAAUCGAGCCCUAACGUAUUGGGUUCUGACUUUCUUCGUUGAACUUAAAUAAUCGAGAUUACUCUUUUAAAAAUGAUAAAAAGCUCGUUAUCGAGAAUUCAAUACGUUGUGUCCUAACGCAUUGGAUGUGACACGUUGUUUUCUCGAGACGAGGAUUUUUCGAAAUAAAUGCAAUAUUCAAUGUUUAAUAUUUUGAGAAAUUGUGCCCUAACGUAUUGGGUUGCGAUUUCUUCAUUUGAUUUAAACAAUUGAAUAUUCUUUUAAACUUUAUUACACGAAUCUUUUCAAACUCAAGUUUUAAACGAUAUCGAGAAUUAAAAAAUGAUCGUGUCCUAACUUACUGGUCGUGAUCCCUUUUUUAAUCCAAGAUAGUUAAAAUAUCUUUUAAAUAAGCAUUUUUCAUUCGCGUAUCGGGAAUUCGAGACAUUAUGUCCUAACUUACUGGAUAUGAUUCUCUUUCUCGAAUAACAUGAAAUAUGCCCCUUUUUUUGAAAAUUUUUAACGUUUUAAUACAAGGAUCGUAUUUUUUUAAAAUUCUUCAAAGUUCUCAAUUUUCGAUAUUAAGACAUUAACUAAUCAACUAGGUACCAAUUUUGGGCGUAUCGAGGGUGCUAAUCCUUCCCCGUGCGUAACCGACUCCCGAACCCGUUUUUCUGAAUUUCGUGGACCAAACUUGUUGUUUUAAUAAAAUCAAACCGUUUAUUAAAAACAAUAACUUUUCGAGGUGAUCCAAUCAUACCUCAUAAAAAAGGAUUGGUGGCGACUCCCGUUUCAUUUUUCAAAACCCAAGUCGACCCCGUUGUCAAAAAAAUGGUGUCAACACAUAUAUAUAUAGAUUAUAAAAUAUGGACAAUGUAUAAAUAUUAUAAAAUAUAACUGUAUAUACAUAUAUAUAAAAACUAUGAAAAUAAAAUAAUAAAAUAAUAAUAAAAUAUGUAUAUGUAUUUAAAAACAUUUAAAAUAUAUACAUAUAUAUAUUAUAAAACACAUAUGCGUGUAUAUAUGUAAGUAUAAUAAUAAUAAUAAUAAUAAUAACAAAAUUAAUAAAAUAAACUAAAAAAAAACCUAAAAUGAAAGAUUAAGUAUUAAAUUGAAAAAAAACUGAAGUUUCAGGGGAAAAUCUGAAAUAAAUAAAACACCAGUGGAUCAAAUAGAACAUGCAGUAAAUGGUGGAGGACCAAAAGUGAAGUAAAUCCCGCCCUCUAAUACGCUGCGCAGCAACCCGGAUUUAAUUGAAACAAAAAUAAAAUAAGUUGCAAAAUUUAAAAUAAAUAAAAAACAAUUUAAAAACACCAUAAAAUAAUAAGGACUAAUUGGAAAAUAGUCCAUUGAAAAUAAAAUGCGGAUCUUAUGAAAGUAGGUCAAGUCACACUCGGGUAUAGGCAAAAUGGCGCCGUUUUGGGGCCACUGAAAGAGGCCCCAAACAACGUCGUUUUAAGCCCUAUAAAUUCCAAUUUUAAAAAAACCCUAAAUCAUUUUCCCCCCUCUGCCAUUUGAAGUUGCGCCGUGGCCUUUCCUCUCUGCCAUUUCAGACCCCUCUCGCUCCGAUGACGACGAAACGAAGAGGUCCUCCAGCCACACUCACAAUGGUAAGUUCUCUUUUCCCUUUCCUUUCCGUUUUAUGCACAAAGCAAUAAAUCAAAAAAGAAAAAAUGAAACAAAACUAAAUUAAAGAUCACCUUCUGCCAAAACUUUUCCUUUUUCUUCUAUUUCUUUUCAAAAAAUGUUUUUUUUCCUUCAAUCGUUGUAAACCUUUUACAAAAACCGAUUGGCCCUUUUUUAGCCGAAUCCUUACAACUCAAAUAAUAAUAAUUUUUUAAAUAUUUUCUCCCUCUUUCGUUUUGCUUGCUGUUCGUGGUUUACUUGUUGCAGGUACGUGCGCGUGUGGGGGUUGCUGCUACGUGGGGCGUGCACGGCGCUGGAGGUUGCUGCGACGUGGGGUGGCUGCUGCUAACUGCUGCUUAGGGUUAGGCUAGGGUUAGAUUUGGGUUUGGGGUAGUGACUUGGGCCUUAUUGGGCCAAACGUAAUUUGGUCAGAUUAGUUAAUUUGGGCCCCGGGCAACAAUUGGGUAUUACAUAUAUAUGUACACAUAUGUAUAUAAAAAUUAUGAAAUGUAUAAAAAUAUGAGUGUAUGUACGUAUAUUUUUAUAAUAAUAUUCAUAAAAGUAUAAAUAUAUAUAUACUUAUCAUAAACAAAAACGUAUUUUGAAAUUAAUUAUAAAAUAUGUAAAACAUAUUUAAUGUAAAAUGUACACACAUUUGUAUAUUAAGAUAUAUGUAUAUGUAUUUACAAAAUAAAAAAUGUAUAGGUAUGAUAUAUAUAAGUAAAUUAUGAAAAUAUGUAUAUGUAUGUAUAAAAUAAAUGAAAUAUGCAAAAAAUAUAUUUAUAAUAAUUUAAAAAAGUGUACGUAUAUAUGUAUAUUACAAAGAAUGUAUGUAUAUAUAUGUAUGAAUUAUAAAAUGCCUAUGCAAAUAUAUAUAUUAGAAAUACGUACGCAUAAGUACAUACAAUACUAAUACUAUUGUAUAACAAUAAUAACAAUAUUAAAAUAAUUAAUUUGGAAAUAAAAUAACUAAUGAAGGAUUAAAUUGAAACCCAAGUAAAAUUUGAGGACCGAAAUCAAAGUAAAAAAGAUGAGAGAAACACAUAAAAGGGUUAAGUCAGGGCAUGUGUGAAAGGAGGGGGCCUGAUUGGGAAAAUAUCCCCAGCCUCAUGCGCGUCGUUUCACAUAGGACUAAAGUGAAACAUACGAAAAAAAAAUGCGGCCGAACAAAAAAAAACGGGACCAGAUUGCACUAGGGCGCAAAAGAGGAGGGUCCACGCCUGCAAAUAUCCCACCCAAAUAGAUGCACGCUGAUCCUCCCACUGGGUCAGGUCACCGCGCAGGUCAAAGGACUAAACAACGCCGUUUUGGCGCUGGUACCUUUUCCAUAAAACGUCAUCGUAUUGCGUUAUUAUUUAAACAAAAAUUUCUUUAAAAAAAAAACAUAAGCCAUAUGCCCUCAAAACAAAAGAAUUGUUGCUUCUUUUUCUCUGCUAGGGUUUUUAACCCAACCUCUGCCGCCGUGCCUCCAUCACAAUUCCACCGUGAACAGUGGUUGGAGCCGCACCACAAAAGGCUUUUUGGUUCCCUCUCGUGCGGAUCUUCAAGGCGUCGCAAGGUAAGCCUUCUUUUUUACUCCUUUAUUUACUAUAUUUUUUUUGAAUGUAAACAAAGAGAAAAAGAAAAACGAAAAUCUACCUUCAAUCUAUCUUUUUUGUAUUCUGAAAUCUCUAUUUCAAAUAUUUUUCUGUUUUUCUAUUUGAUUCGUGAAAAAUAAAACCCUUUACAAAUGCUACAAUCGGCUUUAUAUAGUUGAAUAUUACAGAAAUUAUUUAUUUUUCUUUUAUAUUUUUGCUAUUUUCUCUCUUAUGCUAGUGUUGUUCGUGGUUUGUUACAGGUGCACUGGAGGAGAACGUGCAUUGUGCAGGGGCGACGUGCUGCGACGUUGGUGAGGUUGCUGUGGCGCUGGUUUGCUGCUAACUGCUUAGGGUUCUAUGUCUUAGGAUAAUUUGGGCUGUUGGUAUUGGGCUGAAGUCUGUAUUGGGGUUGGGGUAAAUUUUGUUGUAAUCUAGACAUGGACCUAAUUUCAUUUGAUUUAUUAUUUUGGAUUUAUUUCUUACACGGGCCGUGCAAAUUGGCCUAUUACAAUGCAUAUUAUGUGAUCAUUGUUAUUUUACAUUCGUAUUCUCGUUAUUCGUCGUUUUAAUAUUUUGCUUGUGUAACAUUUCAAGUAUCGCAUUAAUUUUGACCCAAAUGCAUAUUUUUAUAAAAUAAAAAUACUUCGUAUUUUGGAAUUCAAAAAGAUCGUAUCCUAACUUACGGGGUCUCGUUUUUUUUAUAAUUCCAAAUAUACGAUCCAUUUUUUAAAAAAAACAUGUUUUUUAAAAAAUUGUCUUGGGAAUCAAAAAAGGACCGUUUUCCAACUUACGGGAUAUGAUUUCUUCUCCAAAACCGAGAUGAUCAAAAUUUCUAAAAAUAAAUAAUUUUUUGGUGUUUAUUCUCGUGUUGAGAUAAGAGAUAUUGUGUCCUAACUCACGGGAUAUAAUUUUUUUUCUCGAUUAAUGUGAAAUACACCCUUCUUUUUUUAAUAAAAGGCUCAUAUUUUUAAAUUUCUUUUCGAAUUUUUAAUAUGAAUGUCAUGUUUCAAAAACAGUACGACUAUCAAAAUAUGUAUUUUUUCACAUCACUUUAAAAUAUGUUAAAGUCAUCACAUUUUUACAUUUAACUUCACCAUCAUUUAUAAUUUUAUAUAUUUAUUUCGAAAUUUAAUGUAAAUAACUAAAUUGCUAAUUUUAAUGAUAGAAAAUUUAAUUUGCCCCUAAAAAGGAAUCAUUCAGCGUAAUGAAUUGCCUUAUGCUUAUAAACAAAAGAGAUACUUGAAUAGAAUUUUACUCAAAAUGGGCCCGAGCCUAAAAAUGGGCCUAAAAUUUUACUAAAGCCCAGCCCGGCUGUAUUAAUUUUUAUAUGAUUUUUAUAUAAUUUUUAAUUAUAUAUAAUACAUCAAAUAUAAAUAUUCCCCAAAAAAUUGAAAAUAAAUUUUAAAAAUUAUGUAUACUUAAAUAACACUAAGAUAGAUGCAACGUAACAAGCAAAUGUCUCUAAAAUAAUAACAAAAUUAACAAUAAAACAAGUUUUAUACAAUAUUCAAACAAUAACAACAAAAUAGUAGCAACGUAAUAGUAAUAUAGUAGCAAAAUAGGGAGAAAAAAAACAAGAAAAUAGCAUUAAAAAAUAAAAAGUUGAAAUCAAAAGGAAGAAUAGAGAUUUUACUAAACGUUAAGGCCUAUUAAAAAUAGUUUCCGUAAGACAGAUUCGGCCACUCCUACGGUACUUGGAGAAAUGUUGGUCGAAUAUCUCCCAAGAUACAACAACAACAAUGAUCAAAGCAGUAGCACCUCUGCAGCGAUCAACAAACGAGCAUGGUCUUUUUCUAUCACCGGAACGUUUGAAAAAUUCAGAGAAUAAAAGAAGAGUUUUGAGAGCAACAGAAAAUCAGUGUGAGAGUGUGGAAAAUAAGCAAAGAAAUCUUAGCCUUUUAUAGGCAUUUAGGAUGGUGGAAAUUUUGGAAAUAUCCACAAAAUUUGCCAUUAAAGGAGCCAACAAAUCAAAUUGAUUGAAAUCAAAUAAAUAAGAUAAAUGUCCUUCAAAGAUUAUCUCUGCUGCACCUUUUGGGCCCGAUUGGUCCUGACAAUUUUCGUCGCCUACAUCGUGUAGGUGCGCCCCAACCAUGUCAAGUUUGGACCUGCACCCACCCUACGUGCGAGACAAGGUUCCAAGCUUAGUUAUUCAAUCAUUUUUGAAGAAGGUUCCCAUAUAUAAACACAUCUCACACUUGGUAUUUAACCAAUGUGAGAUCUAAGCCUUUAUUUUUUUUCUCAACAAAUAUUUCCAAGCAGCUUAUGUUGAGCAUCGGUUUCUCAUUCAUUACUCAACCAUUUUGAGCAUAUGAUAUACCGUUGUAAAGGUCUCAUGGAGUAGAAUAUGAAACCAUAAUUUUAUGAUUCAACUCUCCACCUUCACCUGUUAAGAAUAUGCCUCAAAGUUAUACGAUCAAAGGACAACAAUUGAGACAACUUCCUAACUGUAAAUUCCCCGGCACUGUUGUGAAUCCAAAUUAUACGAUCCUCCACUUUCGGAUCAAGUUCGACACUCCCCACCAGAUUCUUCAAAUUAUUCAACAUACUUACCUCCCUAUCUAGCAACACCCUUGAGAAAACAUCCCUUCAGGGCACCUCUUCAAAGCCAUUAUUCCUUGCUACAUCUUUGACCACAAUAUUCUUCACAGUAGCAAGCCUGAACAAUCUAGGGAAUUCCACCUUCAAUGGACGAAUAUCACACCAAAUAUCCUCCCAAAAGAGGACAGAUUUCCCAUUCCCAAUCACCCAUCUAACAGAUUCCGACCCAAUCCAUUUUGACACUUCCUCUAAUUUUGAAUUUUCCACAAUACCACACCAAACUACCAACAUUGAUUUUGGUUUGGAAGUCUUAAAUCUCCAAUGUUGCAAAUGCGCAUCAUACUUCUUUGGGGGGAAAAUGGGAGGGAGUAAAAGUAAUGGGGAAAAGUAAAAAAUUUUGGGGGUUUGAGAUAAAUAUGUAAAAUAUUAUAGUUUUAUAUUCAGUUUAUUCGAAUUAUUUGAGUUAUUCAAAUUCGAAAAUUAAACUCCAUUGAACUCAAAAUUUGAAAAAAAAAAGUUUGAGUUGACUCGAUUAACUCAAAUAACUCAAUUCGUUUAACUCGAAAUUCAAAUUUUUUUUAAUUUUUUUCGAAUCGAAUCGAGUUUUGUUCACCCCUACAUAAUAUUAUUUGUAAUGAUCAAAUUUUGAUUAUUUCAUUACAAAAUAUAUUAUCUUUUUAUAAAAUUUAUUACAUGUGAUGUAAUAAAUUUGAUUGUAUAACAUAAAUUGUUUGUGUACACAAAUUUGAAAUUGACUACUAAUCCUUUGGGAUUGGCUAUAAAUUUGAGGUUUUAAUCGACAAUGAAUUUAAUAAAGAAUUCAAAGCUUAUCUCAAUAGACUUUAAGUCUUAAUUUUAGUAUUUAUAACUCAUGCUAUUUUUAUAUUGAAAAUAUAUAAAAUAGCAAAAUUUUCACAACCAAAAGCUUGAAAAUAACUUUAUUGAAUUAUUAAGGCAAUAAGUAGAAAGACAAUCGAUUUGUACUUUCUUUUAUUGUAUAAAUAGUAUAAGACAUUAUAGUUAAAACUUAAUAUCCAUCCUUUAAACAACAAGCUUAAUAUAAUUUCAAAGUGUGACUGGCUCAAUCAACAAUGAAGUGACUACAUCUUUGAUCGCUUUUCUAACAUAUGUAUAGCCAUCUCCUUCCUUGUAAAGCACAUCCAUUACCCUUGAAAGGUUUAGGCUACGAUUCAUAACCUCUGUCGGCAUUUCUGUUGGUUUCAGAAGCUCUUGAUUCGUAUCUUUCCAAGCACUCUCAAUAUAUUUGUUGAAUACAUCGUAUGUCUCCUGUGCUGUUACGUUAUAUUCUUUCAUGUAAUAGUCGAUUACUGACCAAUCGUCUUCUCUCCUCUGCUUGAACUGCAUUCGUAAUAAAAUUAAAAUUAUUCUAUCAUUAUAUACCCUAAAAUUUGUCAAUAUAUUAAACUUUAUUUGUAUAGUGAUGAUAAAAUACCUUUAUUGACAAUACUUCCUCACUAGUAACCCUAAAAUAAAACUAGGUUUUCUUUCUUAUUCGACUAAAAAUGACAUAUAAAUAUUAAACUUCAUUUGUUUCAUAUCAUGAUAAAAACCAUAGUUUGAUUUCAUUAAAAAGAUAUUUAAUUAUUGAGUUAAGAGUUCGAUUUCUUGUGAUUAUAUAAAUAUAUUAUUAUACCUUGUAUUCAGCAAUAUCAUCCAAACCUACAAAUAAUUGUGGAAGCUUGAAUGAUCUUAGGUUCACUGGCUGCCCAUUUAAAGGUCUCUGGUGUUACGAUAUCUCCC